rnacentral:lncRNA from 1 species
UUUUUUUUUUUUAAAUCAAGUUACAAAAGACUAUUUAUAUCCAUUUCUCUAAAAAAAGAAGAAGGGAUAUUUAUAAAAGAAUUAUCAUAGAAGAAUAAAAACAACCUAUUUUUGAAACAAUUAUCAUGAAAACAUUAUUGAUAUUUCUCAAAGGUGGGUGGAGAAAAGAUUUUAGUAAAAACAAAGAUUAUAAAUAUGUAGUUAUACGUGCUACUAAUUGCAGUUAUUAUUAUUAUAAAGCUUACUUAACAGGAUAAAAAUUUGAUUAAAUUAAAUUAAUAAUAUAAUUUCUUUAUAACAAGUACUUAACUUUAAAAGUAAUGAAAGAUAAUUUAACAUUCUUAACAAACAAGGACAAAUAGCUUCUUUUGUCCUUGAGUUAUUGUUUUAUUCCAAUUUUGAUCUUUAAAUUGUUUGGUUAAGCACAUAAUCAAUCUAAAUGUGUUUUUUUUUUCCUUUAAGCGCAGUAACUACAUAAUUAGAAAAUCUAGUACUACUUUAGAAGUAAAAGAAAAGUGAAGAAGAUGAAUAAAUAAACAGAAAGAUUGAUUAAUUAGGUUAACAUUGUUAAUGUUGAACCUAGUAAAUAUUUUUAUAAGUUAAAGAAAAUAAAGUUGGGAGAACAAAUUCAUUAGCCAACACCAUCCCGUUCCAAAAGCACGGAUUCUAUUGACUAUUUAACAACUAAGUAUUAUUUUAAAAGAACAAUAUCACAUACUUAGGUCAAUUGAAGAUUUAACGUGCAUAACCAAAUAACAUGAUGUUCAAAAUCGGAAUAAAUUUAGACUAAUUGAAGAUGUAAUAUGCAAGAGAACAUCAGUACUUAGAAUUUUCAUUCAGAAAUUUAAAGAUGAAUAUUUACACAUUGGUAAAAGUUGUCCAAAUAAUAAUAAUAAAAAAGGAACAUUACUAACUAAACCAAUCAACAUAUGACAGAAACAGCCCAUCUGCCCCAAAGGCCACACAUUGAACAGCUCUUCUAAACAUGAUGAGCCUUAUGCCCUUUUCACCUGCAGUUGCUAAAUUACUCAAUCAUAACUCACUUUCCUGUUUGAUUUCAUCCCUGACCAGUUUACUCUAGCAGUAGCAGGACUUCUCUUCAAUGCUUUUACAUUCAAUGGACUAUCCUUGCUCUGUCAAACAAAAUAAAUUUGAUGAAAAUCAUGAGAUGAGGGUUCGAGUUAUCGCAGAUAUUAAAUAACAAAAUGUUGCAUAAUUUCUUCUCAACUACUCAAUGAAAUUGUCUAGGUAAGCACAAGCUAACCUGAACAGUACUGUACUCUUUCUGUUUCAAAUUAUUUGUAGUUUUUUGCUUCUAGAAAUUCAAACUAUGUGAACUUCACAACUAUUAUUUGAAAAUGUAUGUUUUCAUUUGAAAGGAAAAAACAAACACCUAUUUUGGGACGGAGGGAGUAAGGUGAGUAGGAGGGAGGAAAAUCUUACCAUUUGACAAGUGCCUGCAUUAACAUCACAGACAGGAUAAUCAUGUGGACAGCAGCUGUUGUUGUCAUCACAGCAGGUAGCAGACUCAUAAGGACAACAUCCCCAGCCAAAACAGUAGUCGCCAUACUUAUAAAUGCAGCAGCAAGUAGUGCCCUCGGUGCAGCUAUAGUACUCAUCGCAAACGGUUGAUGGUGCUACAGGACUAGGAGGAGAUGGACCGGGAUUUGGAGGAUUUGCGCCAUUCUUAAGAGGGUAAGAGGGCUCCAUUGCAAUUCCACACUUUCCACUAGUGCUAUUAGCUAAAUUGCGCUCGAGCCUAAUGUAUCCACUUUCUCCCCAGUUAGGACCCCAUGAAUUCCUCACAAUCCAGUAAUCCGAACCAUUAUCUGUUCCGUAGCCAACUGCAACUACACCAUGGUCUAGUUGUGUUCCACAGUAUCCAGUGAAAACGCCCUUCAUGAUUUGAAAAGGAAAAAAAAAAGAAGUGUAAAUGAGUAUGGUAGUUUUAUUAAGUAGAAAAAACAAGGCAUUAGAAGCCGUGAUUGCAGAUUAGAGCCAAUGGGUUUAGGCACAGACAAUAUAUAUUUUCAGAAUUAGACAUCCAACCACAUACUAAAAGGGUACAUUAAGAGAAUUAUUCUCAUACCGAAGAGUAGUGCUGGAAAGCUCUGCCACCAGCUUCAAUAGCAACACUAACUGGUUGAUUUGACAAUGCCUUCAUCAAUGACUUCUCAUCAUUUAUGGGAACAUCUUCAUAUCCAUCAAUGGAGACAACCCGGGCAUUUUUCUGAAAGACCAAAAUAAUUUGUUAGCAGACCAUAGUAUAAGAAAACUUAUAUUGUAAAAAACGUGAGUAAUAUUUUGGAUGUUUUCUAGAAAGUAUGGUCUAACAUACCCUGUUUGAAUCACAAGUACCAUCUUGGGCACGGUAAGGAUAGUCAGCCUCAGUGUCAAUGCCACCGUUGUUUUUAAUGAAAUCAAAGGCAUAGUCCAUGAGACCGCCAUUACAACCCUGGUUAUAGCUCUUGUCACAAUCAACAAGCUCUUGUUCAGAGAGGGAAAUUAAUUCACCGGUUACAAUUUGAUUUAUUCCUUCAACAGCACCAACCGUCGAGAAUGCCCAGCAACUCCCUUCAUAAGAAAAAUAUACAACUUCAGUCAUACCACAGAUAUCUCACAUGCUCAAUCAACAUAUAUAUGAGUUUCGUCAUAAUCAAAGAAAGAUUAAACAGCAAUCAACUUGAAGAUUUGACAAAAUAGGUCAAACACAACAUAAAAAUCAAAACUUUUGACCUAAAUAAGACUCUUGUCAACACUCCAUUGAAAGUAAAAAUACAAAAAAACUCACCGCAUUGGCCUUGGUCUUUAACAGGGGCAACAGCGCCUUUCUGUCUCCAAUCAACGGAUUCCGGCAGCUCUUCGCCGGCCUUAAAAGCGUAACGUUCGCUUUUAGGGUUCUUCAACAGCCUCGUCUUUUUAUCGAACCGUCCACCCACGAACACGGCACGGUACUCAUCGUUGGUAAGAUCAGAAAAUCGAUUCAACCCAAGUUUAUACGGUCUGGUUUCAGCAUUUUGCUCGUCGAUGAAUCUUAAAUUAUCCUUAAAAAUUUCAAAUCUUUUUUCCUUUUCUCCAAUGGCAUUGUAAUUCUUUCCAUGCUUAACAAUCCAAGAUUCAUACAAUCCCUUAACUUCAUCGUCUGUACGAUGACUAGUUACCCCUAAAUCUGCAUGCUUUUCACCAUAACUGAUGAUGGACAUGUCAAGAGCAGAUGAAAGGACAAAAAAUGUAAGAAGAAAGAAGAACAAAGGCCUGAAAAAAGUCAUAUUUUUUCUCUUUUCUUUGUUUUAAUCUUCUUUCUUGUUUGUUGUUUGGGUUAUUGGAGAGAAUGGUGAGAAGUCUUUAUAGAUAGAAACAGAGUUUAUAUUGGAGGGGGGAAGAGAGGUAGAGAACAACUCAAAUAAGAAUAUUGUGACUAAUCGGUAAAAAUGAUUUUAAAUAUUGUGAUUAAUGCGUAAAAAUAAUUUUUAAUAUUGUGAUUAAUGGUGGAAUGGUAAAGAGAAAAUAUAUGAAUUUGAGGAUAUUUGGGGUGUGUGUCUAAAUACAUAGAAUCCAUCUCCGUUGAAAUAGGGAAAAUACAAGUUUCGUGCUAUCCGUGAAUUGUGUGAACCUUUUAAAUUAUGAAAAUCUUGACCAUUCUUAUUGUUGUUGAAUUGUAAUUUGUAAUUAUCCAAAAGUUAAUUACUUUUAUGAUAUUUUUCAUUUUAUAAGUAAGUACUUGUUUUGCUUUCAAAUUCAAAUCAGUUUUGCACGGUUUUCGAGUAGCUUAUACGAUUAUCUUUCCCUGUUUUCAAUUUCUUUGGUUAAUUGAUGAUUUUACACGUCCAACCUACUAUCGAGAAUUUAAAUUUAAUGAAUUAUAGGUAUAUGAUCUAAUAGAAAUAAAAAUAAUAAUAGUAUACUCAUUGUAAUUUUAUAAAAUAAAAAAAAAGAAUAUUGAGGGUGUAAAGACUUUGCCGUUGUUCCCUUUUCUUCUAGUGCACGUAUUCCUUUCAUAGUUGAACUGUCUCAACUCACUCUUUUUCCUUUUGUAUACUUAUUUUUUAAGUUCAUAUGCAUUUUUAGUAUGUUAUGAUCCUUUUUAUUCAAGAGUUUCCAGAAAAGUAUUUACCUUCCAUUCAAGUUAGUAGUAAAACAUAUGUAUGAUUAAUGUAAAACACAAGGUGCCAAUAGGUAUUUACCAAACAUUCAAUUACUUAACAUCUCUCUUUUUAUUGAAUUAUCCUGUUUGACACAACUUAAUGGAAUAAUAUAAUAAUAUUCUACACAAUUUUUUUUAAGGUUUAUUUAACGAUUAUAACAUUAAUGAUAUAAUUUGAUGCCACCAAUAAGCAUUUGGUAUGAUAUUUUUGCAACAAUCAUAGAACUGGUCUAUGGACUAUGCAUAAGAACUCCUGCAUACUGAUAAAAGUGUAAUUUGGUAUACAUAAUUUGAAAUUGAUGUAAACGCGAAGAUACAAUAUUUCUGUAGUGGUUUAGUUUCAGCAACAUAUGAAGAAAUUCCCAUCAGUUAGAGGUAAUUUUCGCGUUCCUCAAUUGUUCUAGUAAGGAAAUCAAACUGUUGUGAGAUGAUCCACCUUUCUCCACAGCCCUUUUAGCCAAUUCUCCUAAGGCAGCUGCACGGCCUCGCAUCUCCUCAGCUUCCUGACCAACCAUCACUUUGGUCACUGCUCUUUCUAUGUCUUUCCUGUUUAUUGGGACUGUGCUAUCUGUUCUAUUAGACCAAGCCUCAGAACCUACUGGAACUCCAAUCUUUAAUAUCUCUACUAGUAGCUUUUCAUUAAAAAAUUGCUCAGCUGAUAGCGGCCAUGUGAUCAUUGGCACUCCGGCACUUACUCCUUCGAGCAAUGAGUUCCAUCCACAGUGAGUCACAAAACCUCCAAUAGCUUCAUGAUCAAGGAUUAGCACCUGAGGUGCCCAUCCUUUUAUUAUCAAACCUCGUCCGUUCACGUUCAGCUUUUCCUCAAAUCCUUCUGGUAUCCACUCAUUCUGCUCUUCGUUGAUUGUAUUCUGCGUCACCGCCCAGAUAAACUGCUGGUUUGAUGCUUCGAGAGCUAUUGCUAUCUCAAGCAACUGAGCUGAUGAAAAGACUGCCAUACUGCCGAAACAUAUGUAAAUGACUGAUUUUGGUUCCUUAGUAUCGAGCCAAUCCAAACACUUUUGCUCACAAAAGGAACUGUCUUGCCCUCUUUGUGAUUUAUCUUCAUUGCAGAGCGAAAUAGGACCAACGUGCCAUACUUUUCUCCCUACUACUUCCCUGGAGUGUUUUACAUAAUUUGGUUCCAUCUCAUAAAAGCUGUUUACAAUAACUCCAUAACUAGUCGUUUCUGCUCGCAUAAUAGCUUUAACUAUUGCAGUCACUGGGGUAUCUUUUUCAUCCAUCAAGUGUUCUGAAAGCUUUUGUCUUGACAUCUUUAUUGUGUCAGGAAGGCCAGGGAUGACAAACUCUUCCAUCUCGGAUUCAACAUUCAAAUGAGGUUUGUGUUCCAUCAAACUAUGUAAAGCACAAAGAGGGAAAAAACCAGAGCCAUUAAAAGCUAGUGUUGGAAUUUCCAGCUUGGUUGCAACAUCAACAGCCCAUGAAAAUUGAGGGGCUGCUAUUAGACAAUCUGGAUGGUCUUCCUCAAGGAACUGUUCAAUUGGGUUUUGAAACAGCGAUAGGCCCAUGAUGAAAUUCAGAUACAUCAGUGUACUAGUAGUAGAAGCUAUGUUUUCACAGCCCUCCGGCAAUCCAGCUUCUUUGCAAGGAAACUUGACUGUACGGAUGCUAAUAUCACUGCCCAUCUCUCUGUCUCUUUGGAUUGUUUUGGAGAAUUUAGACGCGUUGAGAGGAGUCGUGAUAAUGGUUGCCUUCACUCCAUGUCUAGCAAAUUGCCUGGCUAUAUCUACUAGUGGUAUCAUGUGGCCAGGAGCCAUCAUAGGCAGAAAGUAUAUGUGAAGUUGAUCGCUUCUUUUAUCCAUGGUAGCCAGGGAAUAGAUAAGAAAAAACAGCUGAUGAACUAAAAAAGAACAGGAGAUAAAAGAAAGUAGAAGGUGUUGUAUAUCUAUUCGUCUUUGCUCGUCAUGGUUUUAUAGAUAAACAAGGAUUCUGAUUUUGCUAAUGACUUCAUGGGGAGCAUUACUUUUCUAUGGUAUAUAAGGUGCCAUUGCUGACUUUUUGUACUUUGAAAAAUUCUAAUUUGAGUUCAAGACAAGUUAACUAGACCUGUUGUUAUCAUUGCUGACUCUUUCCUACAAUUAAAUAUGAGUGAUGUGCAAGAAAAGUAAAAAUUCUGUAGUUUAUAUGAUUUUUUUAUGUCUAGAUGGGAUUGAUCUUUGGCUUAGAGUGAUGGGUUUGAAUUGUUUAUUAAAACUUGGACAGAUGUAUAGUUGACUUGUUGCACAGACUUGAUUGGAUCAAAUUAGACAUUGUAAAAUAAUUGUACCAAACACACCAUUACACUGACUCACUCCAUGGACAAAAUCUUAAUGGGAGCAUCACUACCAAAUAAACUUUGUAGUGCGUGGUCCAGAUUUAGACGGGUUCCAAUGCAUGCUCUAGAUACUGGGUAAAAAAAAAACUCGCUCCAUGCACCAAACUGUUUUAAUUUAUCAUUAAGUAAAAUGAAAAAUAAUAAUUAUUAUAUAUAUAUAUCAUUUAACUAUAAGUAAGUGUCAGUUUUAUAUGAAGGCUUAAAAAUUCUUUAACCACUCAUCAAGACUAGCAAACAAGAAGUUUAUUGUAGUCUCACUGGGUAAGACUUUUGAAGAUGACAGUUUUGGACAGGAGAAUUGGUUUCGUAGUUCAUUUAUAAUAUUUAUUUUUCUAGUUUUAUUAUGUUUUUUUACAAGAAAAAAAUAUUAUUUUUACAUAUAAAAUCUAAAAAAAGUUAUUUUCUUAUAUUUAUUUGUAAAUGGACAGGAGAUCUUUGUGUUUGACAUGUGCCAUGGCCCAUUCACUUGGAUGCGUGGCUAAGCUAGAGAUCCAGAACUUGGCCCAUAGUUCCAUUGGCCUAGUCUGCAAUCUACCCAACAUUGGUGUAGAAUUUGUUCGCUUAAGUUGGGCCAAGAUGCACACCGAACCAGCCAUUCUUCUGCGAGCUCAGGUACCAAAUUCUUAUGAGAAGUCGUUGGCCCUUUUCCCUCCUAUUAUGAUUUGAGCAACUUUCACAUAUAGCAAACAUAAAAAUCAUAUUUGUAUGUUAUAGCUAUAGUUUGCAUAAUUGCGCUUCAUAGCAAAUUUUAUGUUUACUAUGGAGCUUUUGAUUUGUAUAAUUCGCUAGAUACAUUCAAUUUUAUACAAAUUAUUCAGUUUUGUAUAAAUUCAUUUAUACAUUGUAAUUUGUAUAAUAAGAUCUGUAUUUGUAUAAUUAUAAGUGUAUAUGACGAAAAUAUAUGCAUUUGUAUAUGCACUUUUCUCUCGCUUUACACAAAUACAAACGCUUUUUAUACAUUUGUAUAUCGAAUGGAUAAUUGUAUACCGAAAAUGACUAAGUGUAUACAGAACCAGAUGACAAAAAAAUGGGAUGUUUGCUGCAAAUUAUAAAUAAAAUAAACUAUGGUUAUAACAUUUAAUUUGAAUUAAUAGUUUGUUAUUUCAUACAAUUUUUCCAUUAUGAUUUAAAAAGAGAAACUUUCACAUAUAGCCACUCAAAAAUAGCCUAAUUACUCUCCAUAGCUAUAGUUUGAUAAUUACAAUUUGUAACUACAUGUUAAAGGGAGGAGAGAGGCUAGUGAGACUGGGAGAGAGAGGAGAGAGGCGAGCGAGANNNNNNNNNNNNNNNNNNNNNNNNNNNNNNNNNNNNNNNNNNNNNNNNNNNNNNNNNNNNNNNNNNNNNNNNNNNNNNNNNNNNNNNNNNNNNNNNNNNNNNNNNNNNNNNNNNNNNNNNNNNNNNNNNNNNNNNNNNNNNNNNNNNNNNNNNNNNNNNNNNNNNNNNNNNNNNNNNNNNNNNNNNNNNNNNNNNNNNNNNNNNNNNNNNNNNNNNNNNNNNNNNNNNNNNNNNNNNNNNNNNNNNNNNNNNNNNNNNNNNNNNNNNNNNNNNNNNNNNNNNNNNNNNNNNNNNNNNNNNNNNNNNNNNNNNNNNNNNNNNNNNNNNNNNNNNNNNNNUAAUAGAGAGGUGAAUUGUAUAUGUAUAUUGGUUAGAUAAUUGUAUAUUAUACAUAUGUAUUUAUAUAUAUGACAAGCGAGAUUGGGAGAGGGAAGAGAGAGGCAAGCGAGAGAGGGCAGCGAGUGCGAGAGAAGUGAAUUGUAUAUGUAUAUUGGUUAGAUAAUUGUAUAUUAUACAUAUGCAUUUGUAUAUAUGGCAAGCGAGAUUGGGAGAUGGAGGACACAGACGAGCAAGAUUGUGAGAGGGAGGAGAGGGCGAGCGAAUACGAGAGAGGUGAAUUGUAUAUGUAUAUCGGUUAGAUAAUUGUAUAUUAUACAUAUGCAUUUGUAUAUAUGGCAAGCGAGAUUGGGAGAGGGAGGAAACAGGCGAGCGAGUGCGAGAGAGGUGAAUUGUAUAUGUAUAUCGGUUAGAUAAUUGUAUAUUAUACAUAUGCAUUUGUAUAUAUGGCAAGCGAGAUUGGGAGACGGAGGAGACAGGCGAGCGAGAUUGAGAGAGGGAAGAGACAGGCGAGCGAGAUUGGGAGAGGGAAGAGACAGGCGAGCGAAAUUGGGAGAGGGAUGAGACAGGGGAGCGAGUGUGAGAGAGGUGAAUUAUAUAUGUUUAUCGAUUAGAUAAUUAUAUAUUAUACAUAUGCAUUUGUAUAUAUGGCAAGCAAGAUUGAGAAAGGAGGAGAGAGGCGAGCGAGAGUGGGAGAGAGAUGAAUUGUAUAUGUAUAUCAGUUAGUUAAUUGUAUAUUAUAAAAAUGUAUUUGUAUAUUAUGGCGAAUAAAACAUAUACAAACGUGACUAAUUAUACAAAUUCAAAGUCAGCCCACGUAAUUAAUGUGUAAUCACUACAAAAAAUGAAAUCAACUGGAUAUAAGAAAUUAAGUAUUCCAGUCUACAAGGAGCUAAGUCAUCCGAAUGACGUCGGCAGGAAGUCAAGGCUAUCCAGCCCACACGGAUCAUAAGUCUAAGGCAAUGCUAGCCUAACCUAAACUAAGGACAUCAUGCUUACGGUUAAAGAUGAACAAGCAUACAACACUUAGCAUACAAGCGUACAAUAGCAUUUAGCAUAUAAGCAUGCAACUCUACUAAAUCGGUUAACAAUGAUACUAUACCCAAAAUAUGGUCAAUCGAUCCUAACAUGAGGUAUCUAAUCAAAAUACGGUAGGAAACUAGUACCCACCACCAAUUCACUCCAAUCGACAUGCUUUUACACAAUUAAGCUCAAUCUUAAAAGACAGGAAGUCGUAGCCUACCUUAAGGCCGAUCACGCGCUCUCCAAAUCACUUUUCUGGAGCUUUCACUAUUCGAACGGCCUCGAAACGCUGCCCCGCUAUCAAAAAUAGAGUCACAACGUUAGUACGGUUGUUUAGACACCAAAAUCACCACAAAUGGAGAUGUGUUAAUUUUGGAUUCAAAAUGAGAAUCGUGGGACCCGCACCGAACUGUGCGAAUUUGACUUCGUCAAGAGACCCUAAAUGGCACCCCAAACUUGUGUUCCAUUUUGGAACACAAUUCGGGGUUCAAAACACAGCAAAAACCAACAAGCAAGAAAACCACACUUUAAUCAACUAAAAGAAAACCUACAACAGUCUAAACUCGAAAUCUACAAGGAUCUAAUGGUGCCCAGCACUCCUUGAACACUCUACGAUGAAGUCACGACAUUUCUCAACACGAGGGACUUCGAAUCACCCAAAACUGAGCUAAAAUGAAAGAGAUAUGACCAAAACAAGAAUACAAAAAACAAAGGCUAAAAAAAGGUACUGCAGUCAGGUUAAUCGCAAAAUUACCUCGAACUGCACCUACCCAAUAACUUUCGAACACUCUACGGCAAAGCCACCAAAAAUACGAAGCUCCCACACUUCGAAUCGCCUAAUUCGGAUAAAAGAUGAGAGAGUUAUGAGGGUUUUAAGGUUUGGAAAAUGUUGCUGUUUUUCUCCAUUUAUAGCAGAUUUUCUGCAAUUUUCUAAAAACUAAAAACUCCAACGGGGUGCUCCGCAUUCGUUCAGAACCUCGUGCACACAAACGAGAUAUGCAACCAUACCAAAUUCGAUAUUCCGGACUCAAUGACGCAGUCAAAAUUUCCAUACGACGUCAUCUUGAUAAAAAGUGGGUCCCACACCCAAAUGUCAUUUUAAGUCAAAAAUCACAAAAGGGCUCGAAAAAAUAUCGAAAACCUUGGGACACAAAAGAAGGGUCAAUUUAGACCAAACUCAACAUUCCGGAGCUAACCGCACUGACGGAAUUCUCAUCCGAGCACGUUUACUCAGAAUGUUGAAUAAAGUCAAAACUUAGGCUUAAACUUAAAGUUAAAACGCCUAAUCGCACCAACUCACACUGAAAUCUCGGGAGUCAAGCCGACCAUGCUAUUAGCCUAAAAUGACCCUUCCGGAGACUGAUGGAAUCGUCAGAAUUGGAUUCCGAUAUCAUCUCUUGAACUUUUAAUCGACAAUGAUCGUUCAAGGUUCAUAAGCUCUAAAACACAAAAACUCGCACUAAGACCAAACGAACGACCAGGUGACGAACUGUCAGUCCCAGCAAGUCAUAAAUGACUUGGGGUCGCUACAGGAACGCUCUAAGCGACACACAGAAGGCAAGACACAGAAAUGACCAGGAGGGUCAUUACAACUCAUCAGUCAUGACCCGAGUCUACACCCUAGACGUGGCCGGCACUCAAGAACAAUUACUGGUCCCCAAGCGAACCCUCAUCCUGGUUGACUGCAAGCGGAAGACUAACUUAAGCAUGCAAAAGCUUAAAACUGAAAUAAAAUUCAAUCAAAAUCAAGUUUACAAAACUUUAACUCAAAUGAACAACUUAGAAUAAAAUAAUAUAUUCAAUUCGCCAUAAAAUAGGCAACUUAAGUCUUUAAAACAUUUAAUAAAAUAAAUGGAUAAAUAAUACAGAAUUCUCAACUAUACUGACUAUAUAUGAAUCAUCUACCUGAUAAAGAUGGAAGUCGGGACAAGACCCACGACAUCCUGACUAAACUGAAAAAUGAAUGAAAUCCUCCGAAAACAAGGAGGCUCACCAUAGCUAACUCGAACUUCCGAAUGUAUCAACGAAGCUCAUGUUGAUCACCCUGAAUACCUGUGUCUGCAUCAUGAGAAGAUGCAGGCCAAAUGGCUCAGUACGUGGAAUGUACGAGCAUGUAAGAGGAAUUCUAAAGCAUAAACAUAAUCUUGAAACUUGAUAAAAAGGAAACAUACUUACCUCUUCUCAAACUUACUCAACUCAAGAUAUACUCAAGGAUACUCAAAACUACUCAAACUUACUCGACUCAGAAUUUCUCAAGGAUAAGAUACUUUACUCAAAGAUAUGAUACUCAACUCAAAGAUAUGAUAUUCGACUCUGGGUACUCAACUCUGGAUACUCAACUCAAUAUGACUGAACUCAUUUCAAUAUAAAGCAAUUUAAAACAAGUGCAAUAUAAAGAAACAAACGGUUUAAAACAUGGUUUUUCAACUCUGUGUAUUUCUAAAUACAGUGAUAACUCUAUAUGUAUGAAACGAUACAAUAUGAACUCUGAGAUGUAUGUAAAAAUACAAAAUAAACUGAUGUACAUAAAAUACAAUAACUUCUGUGGGAGUUUCUCUAACCGACAACAAUCACAUAAGAGCUAUUGUGAUGAUACAUCGAUCUUCCUCACGCUACCAGCGCAUCCUAUACCCGGUCAAAGGUAUAGGACCUGAACUAUUAAGUGGAUUCACUAGUCUAUUGUGAAAAAGAUUCAUCUAAAAAGUAUGACCAUUUUCUACCCAUGGUUUAUGGGGGUUGUGAGUUGUCUGAACUCUCACCCAUAUCGGUGCUCAAUAUUACUCCCAAAAAUAUACUAGCUCUUAUGUUUUAAAAACAUACUUCUUUCUGCUGAUUUAAGAUAAUUGCUCAAAAACUUAGCUCAAAGGCUAUCUUGGAAAUCUCAGUUUCCUCUUUUGCUUCAUUUAGAAAGCAAUUACUCUUUUCUGAAAACUUUCCUGAAGGGCCUUUGGAAAUCUCAGUUUCCGUUCUUAUUUAAAUAUGAAAACAUUUAUAAACUCUUUGGGAAUACUUAGUCCCCAUAUACUUUUGAAGAAAAAGACUUCAAACUUUACUCUUUACUCUUUACUGAACUCAAAACUUUAAGUCUUAAAACAAAGUUUAAACAUUUGUAAAAAUACUUCUUAAGAUAUGGUUCAUGCCGAAUUAUGGAUAUGAACGACUCAAUGCAAGGUUUUCAAUAACCAUAGAUAGAACUUAAUACUUGGAACUCAAGAACUUCAAUGAUACUACUCAUUUCAAGAUUUUUUGACUUAUAGUGUUCAUACAGAAUUAUGGGCAUGAAAUAUUCAACUCAAGUACUCAAAGAUGCUUCUCAAAAGGGAUUAGGAACUCAACACUUAAAGGCUUAGAACUUAAAGAUACCACUUCUCUGAAAGAUGCUCAACUUACGAAGUUCAUGCGAAAUUAUGGCAUGAAACAACUCGACUCGAUGAUCUACAUAACUAUAUGGAACUCAUGUAUACGACUCUUCUUAUUCUCUAACUUACUUCCUCAAAACUUAGUUCAAAUCGAUACUUGAUCUCAAAGGAUUCACAAUUGAACUCAAAGGCUUUCUUGAACUCUAAUUUUAACUCUCUCUUGAAUGUGAAUUAUGAAUUCAAGGUUAUUAUCAUGUUAGGAAUGAUUUUAGGUGUUUAGAAGUAGCUUAGAGUAGUUAGAAUCGAAAAUGAGUGAAGGUGCACUUUAAACAAACUCAAACGGGGCAACCGACGACAAACUGGAUGGGGCAGGCGACCCUGGCGCUAUGGGUGGCGUGGGGUGCCAGCCCCUAAACUUCAGAGGAGGGUUUGGGGCGCUCUGCCAGGCGCAUCGCGCCAAGCCCCAACCCAGAAAACUUCGAUGACUUUGUUUGCUCGUUUUCUCACCCUAACUCGCCUAGAAUCGAACGGUUUCUUCCCCAAUUACUUAACAUAAGUACACUCUAAUCUACUCAAUACAUCCCUUAAAACACUCACUUUGAUCUCAAGAAAUCAUCCAAAAUCCAACACAACAAGAUUUAGAAUGAACUUCAAGAACUCUAAUCUUCCAACUUCAAGAAUGAAAUUUCGCUGAAAAUAAUAUGAUUGGCGUGUGGGUGAACAAACCCAACUCUAGAGAAGCUUACAUACCUCUUAGGGAUUAAACCCAUGGCAAAAAUCCGUCUUCUUUUCUCUUCUUGAACUCCCACCUAAAACCCUAGGCUAAUUUUAGGAUUAUAAAACUGAACGCAACAAAACGCAAGACUCUCGACGAAUGCUUUGAUCAUCUCCUAUUUUCUCCUUUUUUUCUCUUCUUUUCUCUUCUUGAACUCCCACCUAAACCCUAGGCUAAUUUUAGGAUUAUAAAACUGAACCUAAUAGUAUUAGACCCUUAAAACCUUACUAAAAAAUAAAUUAAAUCUGAUUGGGUAAGGAAAAGACCAAAAUACCCCUUACUAUUUUCGGCUAACUUUCCUUAACUGGACAACCUAACUUCAAAAUGUCAUAUCUCACUCAUCCGAACUCGAAACUUAGCAAACUUGGUGGCGUUGGAAAGAUAAUUCAAAGAUAUUUCCUACGGUAUCUUGUAGCACACCUAAAUCAUCAAGUGCUAGGAGUUAUGAUCGUUUGAAGUCGACCCAAAACUCAUACUUAGCUUAACUUGCAAAAUUUCAGAUUUUGCUAUUUCCAAUUUAGUUCUUUUUGGAACUCGAGGUGCUAUAUCUAGUGGCCUUAAAACUUAUGAAAUUUUAAAUUCCUUAAUAAAAUCCUACUCACAACGAAGGACGGUUCGAGUCUUAGCUCAAAUUUUUUUCUGGGGUGUUACAGGAGCCAUCAUAGGCAGAAAGUAUAUGUGAAGUUGAUCACUUCUUUUAUCCAUGGUAGCCAGGGAAUAGAUAAGAAAAAACAGUUGAUGAACUAAAAAAGAACAGGAGAUAAAAGAAAGUAGAAGGUGUUGUAUAUCUAUUCGUCUUUGCUCGUCAUGGUUUUAUAGAUAAACAAGGAUUCUGAUUUUGCUAAUGACUUCAUGGGAGCAUUACUUUUCUAUGGUAGAUAAGGUGCCAUUGCUGACUUUUUGUACUUUGAAAAUUCAAAUUUGAGUUCAAGACAAGUAAACUAGACCUGUUGUUAUCAUAUUUUUAUGUCUAGGAUUUGUUUCUCUAUGUUUUCGUCAAAAAAAAAAUACAAACUUCUAAACUCUCAAGGAAAUCAAACUAUACCUGUUUGGCCAUAGAUUUCCCAAGUAAUAUUUGGAGAAAAAGUUGGCAAAUAGUGUUUGUCCAUACAAUUUUUCAUUAUUUGGCAAAUAAUAUUAGCAAAUAUCCAAAUACUAGCCUUUUCUAGUAUUUGGGCCAAAUCUCAUUAUUUGGGAUCUUUUGAAUAUUGAAAUUUUACACCAAACUUUUAUUUUUUACAAAAACACCCUCUAUAGUAGUUGUUUGCAUUGUAUUACAUUUUUUUUUUACGUGAAUACCAAAGUAUUCAAUGAAUAUGAAAGUAAUGAUAUAGUUGUUGAUGAAAAUGAUGAACAAUCGACUCAAGAUAAUAAAGUCAUGUGCUUUGUCUACUUCACGAUGUAUGGAAUGAUGCUUGUUACACUCACUCCAAACUACCACAUUGCUCCAGUGUCAUAGACACUACUUGUCAUUUGUUGCAACGAAGAUCCAAUUGACUUGUAAUACAAACUUAUGGUUAGUUUUGAUCGUUUUUAAAACUUAUGGGUAUAAAUCAUAUUUUUCUACAAAAGUGAAAUAUGUUUUCCAAAUAUUAUGGCCAAACACACCCAAAUUUUCACCCAAAUAAUAUUUGUCAAUCUAUGGCCAAACGCUAGCAUUAUAUAGCAAAGAAAGUCCAAAUUGUCUUAACACAUAAAUGAUGUAACAAUAAUACAUUUAAACAAAUUCCCAUGAGUUGGAGUUGCUCUUCCCCAUCCUCAAUUCUUCUAGUAAGGAAAUCAAGCUAUUGUCAGAUGAUCCGCCUUUCUCUACAGCCAUUUUAGCCGAAUUUCCUAAAGCAUCGGCACGGCCUCGCAUCUCCUCUGCUUCCGGACCAACCAUUAGUUUGGUCACUGCUCUUUGUAUGUUUUCCCUGUUAAUUGGGACUCUGCUGUCUGUUCUUUGAGACCAAGCCUGAACACCUACUGGUACUCCUAUCUUUAAUAUCUCUACUAGUAGCUUUUCAUUAAAAAAUUGCUCAACUGAUAGCGGCCAUGUGACCAUUGGCACUCCGGCACUUACUCCUUCGAGCAAUGAGUUCCAUCCACAAUGAGUCACGAAACCUCCAGUAGCUUCAUGAUCAAGGAUAAGCACCUGAGGUGCCCAUCCUUUUAUUAUCAAACCUCGUCCGUUCAGCUUUUCUUCAAAUCCUUCUGGCAUCCACUCUUCAUUUGUUGUAUUUUGCCUCACCACCCAUAUAAAUUGUUGGUCUGAUGCUUCGAGAGCGGUUGCUAUCUCAAACAACUGAUCUGAUGAAAAGAUGGACAUGCUUCCGAAACAUAUAUAAAUGACUGAUUUUGGUUCCUUGGUAUUGAGCCAAUCCAAACACUUUUGCUCAGAAAGGGAACUGUCUUGGCCUCUUUGUGAUUUAUCUUCAUUGUCUUUAUUGCAGAGCGAAACAGGACCAACGUUCCACACUUUUCUCCCUACUACUUCCCUGAAGUAUUGAACAUAAUUUGGUUCUAGCUCAUAAAAGCUGUUUACAAUAGCUCCAUAACUAGUCGUUUCUGCUCGCAUAAAAUCUUUAACUAUUGGAGUCAUUGGGGUUUCUUUUUCAUCCUUCAAGUGUUCUGAAAGCUUUUGUCUUGACAUCUUUAUUGUGUCAGGAAGGCCAGGGAUGAUAAACUCUUCCGUCUCGGAUUCAACCUUCAAAUGAGGUUUGUGUUCCAUCAAACAGUGAUAAGCACACAUGGGAAGUAAACCAGUGCCAUUAAAAGCUAGUCUUGGAAUUCCCAACUUGGUUGCAACAUCAACAGCCCAUGGGAAUAAAGUUCCUGCUAUUAGACAAUCUGGAUGAUCUUCCUCCAUGAACUUUUCAACUGGCUGUUGAAACAAGUACAAGGCUUUGAUGAAUUUUAGACUCAUUUCUGAACUAGUAGUAGAAGCUAAGUUUUCACAGCCCUCUGGCAAUCCAGCUUCUUUACAAGGGAAUUCAGUUGUCCGGAUGAUAAUAUCACUGCCAAGCUCUCUGUCUUUUUGGAUUGUUUUUGAGAAUUUAGUCGCGUUGAGAGGAGUCGUGAUGAUUGUUGCCUUCACACCAUGCCUGGAAAAUUGCCUGGCCAUGUCUACAAUUAAAUAUGAGUGAUCUGCAAGAAAAGUAAAAUUUCUAAAGUUUAUAUGAUUUUUUUUAUGUCUAGAUGGGAUUGAUUGGCUUAUUUUUCUAGUCGUCAUGUGCAAUUAGUUUCCAAUGUUUUCUUCUUUCUGUCUGGCUGAGGUUUUAUAGAGUACUGUUAGGUUUGAAUUGUUUAAUAUAGUUGACUUGUUGCACAGACUUGAUUGGAUCAAAUUAGACAUUGUAAAAUCAUUUUACCAAACACACCAUUUCCACUCGCAGAAAAUCACGUUGGGAGCGCCAUCCUAAAUGGCCUCUACAAUACGCAAUUCGAAUUUAGUUGAAGCUCCAAUGCAAGCUCCAGACAUCGAACGAUUUUUUUUUAUAAAAAAACUCGUUCCCUCCAUGCACCAAACUAUUUUAAUUUAUCAUAAUUAAGUAUAUAUAUAUACUGGGGGUUUACACAAAUCAUGAUUAUGCUGAAGUAAUAGAAUUUUUUAUAACACGAUGGAAAUUGGAAAAGUUUGAGGGGUUGACAGGUGAGGCGAGGCGUGCACAAGAUUUUUGGAAGAGGCUCCUCUCCAGUGAUGAUCUCUCCAGUUCUCCCCAGUGCUAUUUCAUAUAAUUGACACGUGUCCAUUUAAUUUUUAAUGGACCAGAUUAAUUUUCUUGACCAAAUAUCAUUAACCAUGGUUAUUAGUAAUUCUCUCUCCUUUCAUUCCUUUCUCAACCACCAAAGAAACACUUCUUCCCCCUCCAAAAACUCUCCGAAAAACAGAGCAAUCAAACAAUUGAAAAUUAAAAUUACAUCAAUAUUUUAAUGUUUUACACUUACAUAUGAACAACUAGGGAGAGUCUCAAAAAGAGAAAGACUGAAAUGGAGUGAUUAGACCCCAAUUAAAGAUUACAGUUAUAAAUACCACGAGAAAAGAAGACCCAAAAAAUAAAUGGAAAAUUUCACCAGGAAAAAAAAAGUUUAUGAAAAAAUAUUUUCCUACCCAUUUUUCGUGCCCUUUCCAGAUCCUUUAGUUGGCUUUUGCAGAAACUCCAAAUUGAAAAAAUUAAUGUUACGAAGAAGACAACAAAGUUUUGUGGAUAUGGAUAAUGCCACAUCCUUCAAAUGGAGUAUAUGGGCGAAUGUCAUCGUCUAUUUUUUCCUUGCCCUUAUCACUGGAUCCAAAGGUAUUCACAUAAGGAGACUGCAAAAAUCUUUGAAGGCAUUCUGUUACGUGGAGCUGGAGUCUUUGUAUCAAAAUUGUGUGCAGACUCCUUGACUGGAAGUUGGGUGGGUAGCUGGCUGUCAGAUAGAAAAUCACUAUUGUUGGUUAGCUGUAGAGGAAUGAUUACACUCAGUGGUGCGACAUUAAUUGGCUCGUUUGGAAGUUUGUAGACAAUUGCAUCUAUGACUGCUUCAGUGCUAGAUGAAAUAGAAGCCGAUGUGGUAGAAUCCUACAUGAUAUCAGGGAAUUAUAACAAAAUAUUACAAUUUACAUACGCAACUGUUGACAUUUUUCAGUAAACAAUUUAGAAUCAGACCGAUGUAUCAACAAUUAUUGGAUUUGAAGCAUGUUUUUCGAAGUCUUGUUGAAUUGUAUUAGCAACAUCUUCAUCACCGCUUAAUACUUUUGUGUGUAAUUGGGGGUCUUCAUUUCCUGCAUCCUCCUAAUAAACAGAAUAUUACACAACAUUUUGAUUUUUUUUCAAAAAUAAUUGAUUAUAACAAUUCAAAAACUCUUUACUUACCAGUUCUUUAUUAUGAACAAUCUCUUCUAUCGGAACAUGACUAUGGUGUGCUGUGGGUAUAACAUCUGUUGAAUCUCUCAUUGCAUGUUCCUUAAUGGAUGUCUCAUCAUUCUGUGUUUGUAUAUUAGUAUAUAAGGAAAUAUAUCAUAAAGUAUUUGUUAAUGGUGAUUCAUAAAAAAAAUAUAGUAUCAACUAAGAUUUUAGUGAAUAAUAUACAGUCAAUGAUACACAAAAAGGCAACGUUUAUUUCAUUAUAUGAAUUAAAAUUACUAAAGUAUCAAUCUUAUUAAAUGAUACAUUGUUAAUAAUUUUAAUCGAAUUAACUAAUGAUUAAAAGACAUUAAGUUAUAUAAUUAAAUUGAAGUAUCAAAUACAUACCUUUGCAACAUUUUCUUCGAUAACAUGUCGUUUUUCAACCUCCACAGCAGAUGCAUCAACAUCAUGAUCAACAGUUGCAAAAUCCAUUUGUAUGGGUGAAAUGGUUUGUUGGAAGAAUUGAUCAGAAGUGGAUUGUGGAUCAACAUUACCUUUGUCUACUGAAUCAUCCACUAUAUGUGGCAUAGAAAUGCCACCAUUGUCCUUCAUGUUCCAAAAAAUCAGUAUAACACAAAACUGAAAAGGGAAGCUAAAAAAUAAAAAUACUACCUUAUCACUUUUGUUAUCUUUCGCGCCAACUGCUUUCAUCAACUCAGAAUGAUUUUUUAUUAAUUAACGCCUCAAGAGCUCCAAUUUUUUUGUCAACUUAGAUUCAAAUUAAGCAUAUUAAGUGGAAUUAACAAUAAACAUGAAAAUGUUUAAAUGACAUAAUUAUGUUUACUUACAUUAGACUUCAUGUGACCCUUCAGUUCCUCAAGUCCUGCAUUGUCCGAAAUUGUUCUUCGAAAACUGUAUUAUGAGGAACACCAGAUACAUUAUCGACUUGUGGUGGUUGUGAAUCCGGAGUUUGAAAUGGCUGAUUCGGUUGCUCAUCUGGUUGUGUGGCUUUGGGCACAUUAUUUUUUGUUGGAUGUGCAACCUUUCUUCUCUUGGGGGGGUGGGGUGGAUCCUUGGUAGAAAUUCAUAUGGAUCUCCUUAACAGUUGCUCCGGAGGUUUUGAUGAAAACUCUUCAAAUCCAGGAACCUCAUCUGGUUGCACCUUCUCAUGAUUAACAUUUGAUGUGGAUGGUUGAGUUGGAGGUACAUAACUGUUAUUUGGUAAAUCAAGUGAUCUGAUUUCCUCUUGAGUUGACUGAACGUUAGAACAAUCAUUCUAUAGAAACAAAAAAUAAAACAUCAUGAGAACCAGUUAAAUAAUGUAUCGCAAAUAAAAAAAUAAAGUAAAAAAGGUUGUUAUGUACUAAUUACCUCAGUCAAGAUGUUUUCCAUAAACAUCUUAAAUUUAGGCUUUGAACCCACAACUUUCCAAUUGCAUACCCUUAGUAUACCAUUUCCUUCUUUAACAGCUAUCUCGUUAUGUAUUACAGAUGCACAUUCAUUUACCCAGAUAUUAAGUGCGUAUGGAAAUCCAUUCAAGCGAUACAUUUGUUUGUUAGGUUUGUACUCUUUCCUAAAUGAUUUCAUUAACUUUGUGAAGGCAAGUUGUCCCCACGGAAACUGUUGAUAGCUGUCAUAUUCUAUCAUUAAGAAAUCUUCAAUAGGAAUUGGUGCAUCACCAAGUUGUGAGAAUACAAAGGUAUGAAUGAAAUACAAUAUAGUCAUCUGAAGGGCAAUCAUCAGUGUUGUCCCAACCACCCAUAUCAAAACGAUCUACCAGUUAUUCUUUGUUUACAUUAUAAUUUGGACCAGGAAAGUGUUAGGGUUUUGCCCUGAUUUUCUUAUCAUAAUUUAAAGAUUUAUUUUUCCUUAAAGAAAAACAAAACAUUACCAUAAAUGUUUUUACUUUUCUUGAAAGGAAAAUAUAAUAUUAUUUUAUAUUUGGUUUAUUCUCUCCUUUUAGGACUCCUUUUCUAGUAGGAACGGUUUUAGGACUCUAUAAAUAUAAGUUUGUUUCUUCUAACACAAUAACAAUAACAUCCACAAUGUAGUCGUUUAAGAGUCUUGUUUAUGGGGAGAUUUAUUCUCUCUAAAGUUUCAAUGUUUUUCUUUAUAUUAGUUUUGAUAUAAUAAUAUUUUGAUUUUUAGUAUAAGUUUUUUGUUAGCUGAUUUAUCAACUAUAUGAUUUGCAAAUUGUAAACUUCCGCAUAACGCCCUAAUCACCCUUCAGAACCCAACAGAAAGUAUCUUUUAACCAGCCUACUAGUUUUUGAAUCCGAAUAUGUAAAACCUUUAAUAUUUUCGGUACACUUCAGACCAGUAAUAAUAGCAAAUUCUCUGAUACUAAAUUGCAAUACAUUUCCUUUGGCAUGACGAAUAUGUAUUUCUUUGUCUAAAUUGUCAUGCUCAACCUCUAGAAGAUAUAAACACUUGGUAAUUUGUCCUUGGUAGUGGCACUUGGGGAUAUUAAGGUAUUGGCCAAAUAUAGUAACCUUAAAUAAUUUCAUACCUUCAUCGUUUAUUGACAAUACUAAGUUUUCAUUAAAAUUUGAGUUGUAAAUAGGACCAAACUUUAGGGGUUGCUUUGGAAUAUGUUUAAUUACAUAUUUCAUAUUCUGCAAUUUCAUAAACAUAAAUGAUGUUGAUCAAUCACUAAACCGAUAAAUGAUGCAUACAGAACUAAAAGGGAAAGGCCAUAUAUUGAUUCAAAAUAUUAUGUUUAAGAUCAUUUUAUACUACAUAAUAACAAUACAUGACUAAUACACAAAAUCAUAUAACUUCUGUAUAUACACCGACUUAUAUUUAAAUAUGAUACAAAAUGUUAACUACCAGAUCUAUUAUAUUAUGUUUACGUAUCAUUCAUGUGAAUAUCUAUGAAUAUGAUACAUUGUACAACAAACAACCUACAUAUCAUACUGUGAAUUGAACGCCUAUCUUAGAUACAGUUCUCAACACAAAAAAAUUGACAAAAAAUAGUCUUUCAUCUACAAAUGUAAAAGUUAUACUCAAUACCAACAUUUGAUAAAACAAUCAGUGUUUCUGGGUAACAACUCCAGAUUUCAAUAUAUACAAUAAAACUUUAUUGUUCAACAAUGUCUAAAUUAAAAGCAAAAGAAAUGCAUACCAUGGGUAGUGUUGGUCGAGAAAUGGGUGGGGGCAACCGUUCUAUCCCUCUUCUUUUGAGUUUUUGCACCCUUUGCUUUAGAUGAUGCCCCCACUUCCUUUUUCGAUUUUCUCUUCAUAGAAGUUUGAUUUGCCAUUAAUGCCGGUGCAUGCAAACUUUUAGACCUCUGUUCUGCCCAGUUGGGGUCUCUGAAUCAAAUUUUGAUCAUUGUUAGGUGUUAUUAUUUGGGAAAUCCCAAUAUUAAAAGACGGAUGAUCCAUUUUGACAACUGAUCCAAAAUCGAUUGAAACACAAAAAUUAAUUUUGAAAGAAAAAUGAAAAAGAUGAUAAUACCUAUUUUGAACUUUGGACGGUUGAAUAGAGAUAGAAUCAUUUGAAAAUCAAAUUGCUUUGAAUUCGAUAACUGAUUUGGUAGUGGGGAAAGAUUAGAGGCGAGAUUUUGGGGAUGAGAAAGGUGGGUUUUGGGUUCUUUCAAAAUAACGUAUCCGGAAUAGAGGGUUUGGGGAAAAAUAGGGAUUUUUGAAUUUUUAUGAAAGAGUAGGGAUUAAACGAGAAUAUAUAAACAUAUGUAGUGUAGUUUAGUAAUUUUGCCAAAAAAACAAACGCCUAUUUUGGGAAGGAAGGAGUAAAAUCUUACCAUUUGACAAGUGCCUGCAUUAACAUCACAGACAGGAUAAUCAUGUGGACAGCAAUUGUUGUUGUCAUCACAGCAGGUAGCAGACUCAUAAGGACAACAUCCCCAGCAAAAACAGUAGCCGCCAUACUUAUAAAUGCAGCAGCAAGUAGUGCCCUCGGUGCAGCUAUAGUACUUAUCGCAAACGGUUGAUGGUGCUACAGGAUUAGGAGGAGAUGGACCGGGAUUAGAAGGACUUGCGCCAUUCUUAAGAGUGUAAGAGGGCUCCAUUGCAAUUCCACACUUUCCACUAGUGCUAUUAGCUAAAUUGCGCUCGAGCCUAAUGUAUCCACUUUCCCCCCAGUUAGGACCCCAUGAAUUCCUCACAAUCCAAUAAUCUGAACCAUUAUCUGUUCCGUAACCAACUGCAACUACACCAUGGUCUAGUUGUGUUCCUCAGUAUCCAGUGAAAACAUCUUCAUGAUUUGAAAAGGAAAAGAAAGUGUAAAUGAGUAUGGUAGUUUUUUUUAGUAGAAAAAACAAGGCGUUAGAAGCCGUGAUUGCAGAUUAGGCAUAAACUAGAAUCGUAGGAACUAAUCCAAAACUUAGAGUCAAUGGGUUUAGGUACAGACAAUACUAGACUUGAUCCGACCACAUACUAAAAGGGUACAUUAAGAGAAUUGUUCUCAUACCGAAAAGUAAUGCUGGAAAGCUCUGCCACCAGCAUCAAUAGCAACACUAACUGUUUGAUUUGACAAUGCCUUCAUCAAUGACUUCUCAUCAUUUAUGGGAACAACUUCAUAUCCAUCAAUGGAGACAACCCGGGCAUUUUUCUGAAAGACAAAAUUGUUAGCAGACUAUCAAUACAUGAGUAAUAUUUUGGAUGUUUUCUAGAAAGUAUGGUCUAACAUACCCUGUUUGAAUCACAAGUACCAUAUUUAGCACGGUAGGGAUAGGCAGCCUCAGUGUCAAUGCCACCGUUGUUUUUAAUGAAUUCAAAGGCGUAGUCCAUGAGACCACCAUUACAACCCUGGUUAUAGCUCUUGUCACAAUCAACAAGCUCUUGUUCAGAGAGGGAAAUCAAUUCACCGGUUACAAAUUGAUUUAUUCCUUCAACAGCACCAACCGUCGAGAAUGCCCAGCAACUCCCUUCAUAAGAAAAAUAUACAACUUCAGUAGAUAUACAUACGAUAUCUCACAUGCUUAAUCAACAAAUUUAUGAGCCAAGGUCAAUCGAAAACAAAUUAUGUGUUUUCAAGUCUGUGUAUAUACUAUCCUUUCCAAACCCCAAUUAUAACGGGUUUGCUGUUGACAAAAUAGGUCAAACACAACAUACAAAUCAAAACUUUUGACCUAAAUAAGACUCUUGUCAACACUCCAUUGAAAGUAAUCUUCCUCCAACAGAGAAAAUACAAAAAAACUCACCGCAUUGGCCUUAGUCUUUAACAGGGGCAACAGCGCCUUUCUGUCUCCAUUCAACGGAUUCCGGCAACUCUUCGCCGGACUUAAAAGCGUAACGUUCGCUUUUAGGGUUCUUCAACAGCCUCGUCUUUUUAGCGAACACGGCACAGUACUCAUCGUUGGUAAGAUCAGAAAAUCGAUUCAACCCAAGUUUAUACGGUCUGGUCUCAGCGUUUUGCUCGUCGAUGAAUCUUAAAUUAUCCUUAAAAAUCUCAAAUCGUUUCUCCUUUUCUCCAAUGGCAUUGUAAUUCUUUCCAUGUUUAACAAUCCAAGAUUCAUACAAUCCGUUAACUUGAUCGUCUGUAUGAUGAUUUGUUGUCCCUAAAUCUGCAUGUUUUUCAUCGUAACUGAUGAUGGACAUGUCAAGAGCAGAUGAAAGGACAAAAAAUGUAAGAAGAAAUAAGAACAAAGGCCUGAAAAAAGUCAUAUUUUUUUAUUUUCUUUGUUUUAAUCUUCUUCUUGGUUCCAGAAAUUGAUAUGUUGGUCUCCUAUUACUCCAGAGCAAAUUGUUGCAGAUCCCCCUCCAGCUCAGGAGAAUCACAUUUCUGAGCAGAGCACACCAUCAUAAUUGAAGAAGUCCCAAAGAAGUCUUAUGCUUCAAUUGUCAUGCAUCUAAAGGAAAGUGCUGCAACUUUCUCCCCUCCUCCAGCACCUGCUCCUAGGAAGAUUGUGCCUAAGAAUGUUGAGCAAGUGAGACAACCUCUUGCACCAGUACCAGCUGAUAGCCCUGUUUUAAGCUUAGACUUUGUUGAUAAUGUGAAUAACCAAGAGGGAGAAGCUGAUGGACACUCCAUCUAUAUCAAAGGUCUACCUAUGAGUGCCACCGCCACCAUGCUUGAAGAUGAGUUCAAGAAGUUUGGACCUAUAAAGAAUGGAGGCAUUCAAGUCCGAAGUAACAGACAACAGGGAUUUUGUUUUGGCUUUGUGGAAUUUUAGGUGGAAAUUGCUGUGCAAAAAGCAAUUGAGGCUUCUCCAAUUUUAAUUGGUGGACGCCAAGCUGCCGUUGAAGAGAAGAAGUCUACCAGUUCUCGAGGUAACACUAGGGAUUCAGGAAUGAUGGAGUACGUGGGCGAGGAAACUACAAUGGAAGUUGGAGGGGCUAUAAUCGCGGUGAUUUCAAUGGAAGAAGUGAGUUCAACAACAGAGGAGGGUCAUCCAACCGUGGAGGUGGUGAUGGCUAUCAGCGAAGUGACAACAAUGGGCGAAUGAAUCGUGGUGGUGGUGGUAUGGCAAAUGGAACUGCCAAAAAUAUGACACCACGGAUUUCAGCUACAGCUUGAGGAGAAGUAGUUUUGGGCAAAUAAGUGAAGCUAAUUUAGUAGUAAUUCUUUUUUAAUUUGAAAUGGUUGGAUGUGGGCAGUUAGGAAGUUUUGUCACUCUUGCUGCAUAUUGUGCCUUUCCCUAAUUCUUGACGUUAAUCGGUAUAGAGGUUGGAGUAGCUUCUGUUUUUGUAGCAAAAAUAAAUAAAUUGUGAUUAAUGAGUAAAAAUGAUUUUAAAUAUUGUGAUUAAUGGUGGAAAUGUAAAGAGAAAAUAUAUGAAUUUGAGGAUAUUUGGGGUGUGUGUCUAAAUACAUAGAAUUCAUCUCCGUUGAAAUAGGGAAAAUACAAGUUUCGUGCUAUUCGUGAAUUGUGUGAACCUUUUAAAUUAUGAAAAUCUUGACCAUUCUUAAUGUUGUUUGAAUUGUAAUUUGUAAUUAUCCAAAAGUUAAUUUCUUUUAUGAUAUUUUUCAUUUUAUAAGCAAGUACUUGUUUUGCUUUCAAAUUCAAAUCAGUUUUGCACGGUUUUCGAGUAGCUUAUACGAUUAUCUUUCCCUGUUUUCAAUUUCUUUGGUUAAUUGAUGAUUUUACACGUCCAACCUACUAUCGAGAAUUUAAAUUUAAUGAAUUAUAGGUAUAUGAUCUAAUAGAAAUAAAAAUAAUAAUAGUAUACUCAUUGUAAUUUUAUAAAAUAAAAAAAAAGAAUAUUGAGGGUGUAAAGACUUUGCCGUUGUUCCCUUUUCUUCUAGUGCACGUAUUCCUUUCAUAGUUGAACUGUCUCAACUCACUCUUUUUCCUUUUGUAUACUUAUUUUUUAAGUUCAUAUGCAUUUUUAGUAUGUUAUGAUCCUUUUUAUUCAAGAGUUUCCAGAAAAGUAUUUACCUUCCAUUCAAGUUAGUAGUAAAACAUAUGUAUGAUUAAUGUAAAACACAAGGUGCCAAUAGGUAUUUACCAAACAUUCAAUUACUUAACAUCUCUCUUUUUAUUGAAUUAUCCUGUUUGACACAACUUAAUGGAAUAAUAUAAUAAUAUUCUACACAAUUUUUUUUAAGGUUUAUUUAACGAUUAUAACAUUAAUGAUAUAAUUUGAUGCCACCAAUAAGCAUUUGGUAUGAUAUUUUUGCAACAAUCAUAGAACUGGUCUAUGGACUAUGCAUAAGAACUCCUGCAUACUGAUAAAAGUGUAAUUUGGUAUACAUAAUUUGAAAUUGAUGUAAACGCGAAGAUACAAUAUUUCUGUAGUGGUUUAGUUUCAGCAACAUAUGAAGAAAUUCCCAUCAGUUAGAGGUAAUUUUCGCGUUCCUCAAUUGUUCUAGUAAGGAAAUCAAACUGUUGUGAGAUGAUCCACCUUUCUCCACAGCCCUUUUAGCCAAUUCUCCUAAGGCAGCUGCACGGCCUCGCAUCUCCUCAGCUUCCUGACCAACCAUCACUUUGGUCACUGCUCUUUCUAUGUCUUUCCUGUUUAUUGGGACUGUGCUAUCUGUUCUAUUAGACCAAGCCUCAGAACCUACUGGAACUCCAAUCUUUAAUAUCUCUACUAGUAGCUUUUCAUUAAAAAAUUGCUCAGCUGAUAGCGGCCAUGUGAUCAUUGGCACUCCGGCACUUACUCCUUCGAGCAAUGAGUUCCAUCCACAGUGAGUCACAAAACCUCCAAUAGCUUCAUGAUCAAGGAUUAGCACCUGAGGUGCCCAUCCUUUUAUUAUCAAACCUCGUCCGUUCACGUUCAGCUUUUCCUCAAAUCCUUCUGGUAUCCACUCAUUCUGCUCUUCGUUGAUUGUAUUCUGCGUCACCGCCCAGAUAAACUGCUGGUUUGAUGCUUCGAGAGCUAUUGCUAUCUCAAGCAACUGAGCUGAUGAAAAGACUGCCAUACUGCCGAAACAUAUGUAAAUGACUGAUUUUGGUUCCUUAGUAUCGAGCCAAUCCAAACACUUUUGCUCACAAAAGGAACUGUCUUGCCCUCUUUGUGAUUUAUCUUCAUUGCAGAGCGAAAUAGGACCAACGUGCCAUACUUUUCUCCCUACUACUUCCCUGGAGUGUUUUACAUAAUUUGGUUCCAUCUCAUAAAAGCUGUUUACAAUAACUCCAUAACUAGUCGUUUCUGCUCGCAUAAUAGCUUUAACUAUUGCAGUCACUGGGGUAUCUUUUUCAUCCAUCAAGUGUUCUGAAAGCUUUUGUCUUGACAUCUUUAUUGUGUCAGGAAGGCCAGGGAUGACAAACUCUUCCAUCUCGGAUUCAACAUUCAAAUGAGGUUUGUGUUCCAUCAAACUAUGUAAAGCACAAAGAGGGAAAAAACCAGAGCCAUUAAAAGCUAGUGUUGGAAUUUCCAGCUUGGUUGCAACAUCAACAGCCCAUGAAAAUUGAGGGGCUGCUAUUAGACAAUCUGGAUGGUCUUCCUCAAGGAACUGUUCAAUUGGGUUUUGAAACAGCGAUAGGCCCAUGAUGAAAUUCAGAUACAUCAGUGUACUAGUAGUAGAAGCUAUGUUUUCACAGCCCUCCGGCAAUCCAGCUUCUUUGCAAGGAAACUUGACUGUACGGAUGCUAAUAUCACUGCCCAUCUCUCUGUCUCUUUGGAUUGUUUUGGAGAAUUUAGACGCGUUGAGAGGAGUCGUGAUAAUGGUUGCCUUCACUCCAUGUCUAGCAAAUUGCCUGGCUAUAUCUACUAGUGGUAUCAUGUGGCCAGGAGCCAUCAUAGGCAGAAAGUAUAUGUGAAGUUGAUCGCUUCUUUUAUCCAUGGUAGCCAGGGAAUAGAUAAGAAAAAACAGCUGAUGAACUAAAAAAGAACAGGAGAUAAAAGAAAGUAGAAGGUGUUGUAUAUCUAUUCGUCUUUGCUCGUCAUGGUUUUAUAGAUAAACAAGGAUUCUGAUUUUGCUAAUGACUUCAUGGGGAGCAUUACUUUUCUAUGGUAUACAAGGUGCCAUUGCUGACUUUUUGUACUUUGAAAAAUUCUAAUUUGAGUUCAAGACAAGUUAACUAGACCUGUUGUUAUCAUUGCUGACUCUUUCCUACAAUUAAAUAUGAGUGAUGUGCAAGAAAAGUAAAAAUUCUGUAGUUUAUAUGAUUUUUUUAUGUCUAGAUGGGAUUGAUCUUUGGCUUAUUUUUCUUCUUUCUGUCUGAUUGAGGUUUUAGAGAGUGAUGGGUUUGAAUUGUUUAUUAAAACUUGGACAGAUGUAUAGUUGACUUGAUUGGAUCAAAUUAGACACUGUAAAAUACUAUAGUUGUACAGACUUUUUGUACAUUGAUUGAUCUUUGGCUUAUUUUUCUAGUCGUCAGGUGCAAUCAGUUUCCAGUGAUUUCUUCUUUCUGUCUGGCUGAGGAUUUAGAGAGUACUGAUAGGUUUGAAUUGUUUAAUAUAGUUGACUUGUUGUACAGACUUGAUUGGAUCAAAUUAGGAGUCAAUUCCCUAAAUGGUCAUCCAAGUUUAGAGAAUUUCCAUGAAAUAUCAUUUAUAUUUCAUUUAGGACAAAAAUAUCACUCAACUAUCACUAUUUUCCUCAAAAUAUACUUGACACUUCAAAAGUCUUACUCUCUCAUACUCCCUCCGUCCCUAUUUACUUGUCCAUAUUUCCUUUUUUGGUUGUCCCUAUUUAGUUGUCCAUUUUGACAAAUCAAGAAAGGACAACAAAUUUUUUCCUAUUAUACCCUUAUUUACACUUCUUGAAAAUUGUAAAAGUGUAUGUUGUUUCCCUCCAAUUUAUUUCACUUGAAUUCAAAUAAGUGAUUGUAAUUUUGAAGUGAAAAGUUGUCAUAAGGGUAAAAUUGUAACUUCACUGUGCUAAUCAUUGUUGCCUUAAUCUGUGUGCCAUUUCUAAAGUGGACAACUAAAAAGGGACGGAGGGAGUACUUAACAAAGCAUACUAAACACGUGGUCAACAAAAUUAAACGUGCUUACAUUUCUUGCCUUGAGGUUAGAUAGAUAUUUUCGUGGACCCCUUUGCUUUAACUAUUUAGGCUUCUAUACACUGUUUUUCUUUUAUAAUUUUCAAGAAGNNNNNNNNNNNNNNNNNNNNNNNNNNNNNNNNNNNNNNNNNNNNNNNNNNNNNNNNNNNNNNNNNNNNNNNNNNNNNNNNNNNNNNNNNNNNNNNNNNNNNNNNNNNNNNNNNNNNNNNNNNNNNNNNNNNNNNNNNNNNNNNNNNNNNNNNNNNNNNNNNNNNNNNNNNNNNNNNNNNNNNNNNNNNNNNNNNNNNNNNNNNNNNNNNNNNNNNNNNNNNNNNNNNNNNNNNNNNNNNNNNNNNNNNNNNNNNNNNNNNNNNNNNNNNNNNNNNNNNNNNNNNNNNNNNNNNNNNNNNNNNNNNNNNNNNNNNNNNNNNNNNNNNNNNNNNNNNNNNNNNNNNNNNGCAUGACAUGUCAUUAAAGUCUUUUUUUUUUGUAAUAAUAGACUAGUUUGAUUCAUUAAACUCAUUUAACUAAAAUAAUUAUCAUAUUAUUUUAUUUUUAAAAAAAAAUAAAAAAAAUAAAAAAAUAAAAAAUAUAUAUAUAUUAGUUUAUUAAGAGUAAAUCUUCAUACUUAAAGAAUCUUUUAUUAUAAUUAAACUUUUUAUUUUUUUAUGUUAUGAAGAAUAUGUUUUUAAAACGUACUAUAAUAUCAUCAAUUUUGAAUACUUAUAAACAUAUACAUUAANNNNNNNNNNNNNNNNNNNNNNNNNNNNNNNNNNNNNNNNNNNNNNNNNNNNNNNNNNNNNNNNNNNNNNNNNNNNNNNNNNNNNNNNNNNNNNNNNNNNNNNNNNNNNNNNNNNNNNNNNNNNNNNNNNNNNNNNNNNNNNNNNNNNNNNNNNNNNNNNNNNNNNNNNNNNNNNNNNNNNNNNNNNNNNNNNNNNNNNNNNNNNNNNNNNNNNNNNNNNNNNNNNNNNNNNNNNNNNNNNNNNNNNNNNNNNNNNNNNNNNNNNNNNNNNNNNNNNNNNNNNNNNNNNNNNNNNNNNNNNNNNNNNNNNNNNNNNNNNNNNNNNNNNNNNNNNNNNNNNNNNNNNNNNNNNNNNNNNNNNNNNNNNNNNNNNNNNNNNNNNNNNNNNNNNNNNNNNNNNNNNNNNNNNNNNNNNNNNNNNNNNNNNNNNNNNNNNNNNNNNNNNNNNNNNNNNNNNNNNNNNNNNNNNNNNNNNNNNNNNNNNNNNNNNNNNNNNNNNNNNNNNNNNNNNNNNNNNNNNNNNNNNNNNNNNNNNNNNNNNNNNNNNNNNNNNNNNNNNNNNNNNNNNNNNNNNNNNNNNNNNNNNNNNNNNNNNNNNNNNNNNNNNNNNNNNNNNNNNNNNNNNNNNNNNNNNNNNNNNNNNNNNNNNNNNNNNNNNNNNNNNNNNNNNNNNNNNNNNNNNNNNNNNNNNNNNNNNNNNNNNNNNNNNNNNNNNNNNNNNNNNNNNNNNNNNNNNNNNNNNNNNNNNNNNNNNNNNNNNNNNNNNNNNNNNNNNNNNNNNNNNNNNNNNNNNNNNNNNNNNNNNNNNNNNNNNNNNNNNNNNNNNNNNNNNNNNNNNNNNNNNNNNNNNNNNNNNNNNNNNNNNNNNNNNNNNNNNNNNNNNNNNNNNNNNNNNNNNNNNNNNNNNNNNNNNNAAUAAAUGUGUUUAUAAGUAUUCAAAAUUGAUGACAUUAUAGUAAGUUUUAAAAAAACUAUUUUUCAUAGCAUAAAAAAAAUUAAUUAUGAUAAAAGAUUCUUAAGCAUGAAAUUUCUUCUUAAUAAACUAAUUUAUACUUUAUAGAAAAUAAUAAUAUCAUUAUUUUAGUGAAAUUAGUUUGAUGAAUUAAAUAAGUCUAUUCUUAAAAAAAAACUUCAAUGACAUGGCAUGCCAACUAGGAGAGAGUGAAACUUUUGAAGUCUUUAAGUAUAUUUGGAGGAAAAUAGUGAUAGUUGAGUGAUAUUUUGGUUAUAAAUGAAACAUAAAUGAUAUUUCAAGGCAAUUUCCUAAACUUGGGUGACCAUUUAGGGAAUUGACUCAUCAAAUUAGGCAUCGUAAAAUCAUUUUACCAAACACACCAUUUCCACUCGCUCCACACACAGAAAAUCACAUUGGAAGUGCCAUCCUAAAUAGCCUCUACAAUACGCAAUUCAAAUCUAGUUAAGGUUCCAAUGCAAGCUUCGGACAUCAGAUGAAAAAUUAAAAAAAAAAAAACUCGCUCCCUCCAUGCACCAAACUAUUUUAAUUUAUCAUAAUUAAGUGUAUAUAUAUACUAGGGGUUUACACAAAUUAUGAUUAUGCUGAAGCAAUAGAAUUUUUUAUAACACGAUGGAAAUUGGAAAAGUUUGAGGGGUUGACAGGUGAGGCGAGGCGUGCACAAGAUUUUGUGUGCAAAUUUCCACUUAUGAUCAAGAAGUUGGAAAAUCGAGCUAAGAAAUCAGAUCCGCGUCGAGUGAAGUUUAGUUGGAUUUUCAACAAAGAAGUGAGUGUUUAGAUAAAUUGAUAUGUAAGAAAGAUGUAAAACAAAAGCGUCCGUUAAGCUGCUAAAAUAAACUUAUUUGACAUGUAUUUCUUAAUAAAAGUGUUUUCUGAAAAAGUACUUUGAAAGAGUAUAAUAUAUAAUUUGUAUAAAACUAAAUCAUUUGAGAAGUGUUUUUAUUGUUAGUUUGUCUUUAAUCAACAAUUUCAUAAGAGUCUGUUUGGUAUUGUUGCUAAAAACACUUAUUUUUAAAAGUAUUUUUGAAUAAGAGUAUAUAAAAAUUUAACAAAAAUGAAUAAAUUACUAUUAUAUAAAAAUAUAAAAUAAAAUUUAAAAUGAAACUUAACCAAGCUUAUGCGAUAUGUUAAUUAAUUAAUAAGAGAUAAAUUGAUAAAUAUAUAUGUAUAAAUGACAUGGUUUGAUCAACCGACCUACAUUCACAAAAGAAAAUGAGCAAUCCACUAUAUAAAUAUAUGAGAAUACAAACUAUAGAGAGAAAUAACCUCACUCGGAAUAAAAAGAGGUUCAAACAAAUGGUGAUUGAUGAUUUUGACUUCAUAACAUCUAUAGAUGAAUUAGGCCACUUAGCAUGACUAACAUCAUGCUUUCCCAAGAAAUUGUCCGAGGUAUUAAGAAGCCAAAUUCGGGAGUUAAUAUGGUUAUCAAGCUUGACAUAUUUAAAGUUUACGAUAUGGUCACAUAGCCUUUCACAUGCAUCCAGGGGCAGAUCUACUGAGAUCCGUGGGGUGCCACGCCACCCACAAGUUUCGACGGAAAUUCUAUUUAUAUAUAGGUAUUUAUGUACACCAUAUAUAUAAAUAAUAAACGUGCCACCCAGUAAACAAAAGUAUUCUCGGGUACCAGUGGUAGGCGAUCAGAUAUUUGUGUCUAAGUUCGCAGGAUCGAACCCUACUAACAGCUUUUUGUUUUAAUAUUUUUUCAACUGUAGGCAGCCUUUUUUUUUGUUUUUUUUUUAACUGCAGCGUUUCUUUUUUAACCUACAAAGGAAUAUUCUCUUUUGAUUUUUUUUUACUUGUUAACUUACUAUUAUUAAGUAUUAAUCAAUUUUUUUUAAAAUAAUAAAAAUUAAGUAUUAAUCAAUAAUUAGUUUUUAACUAUUUAUUUGUUUAAACAGAAAGAAAACUUUUUUUUUCUCUCUUCAGUAUUGAAACCCUGGAUGUUCCUUUAAACUUUUCAACAACAAAAAUCUGCCAUUAAUCAAAGCUUCAGCCUUCAGUCCGUCGCCCAAUCCCGCUCACCCAUCCGUCCAUAAGACGAAUAAUUCUAUAUGAAUCAAAAGUUGAUUUAAUCUGAGUCUACUGGUCAUUAGAGGCGAAUUCAAAAUUUGAAGAUUUCGGUGUAUCAAUACUUCUUAAUUUAGGUAGUUAGCGAAACUUUUACUACAAUUAACGAAUAAUGUAGUAUUUCUUGGUCACUAAUGGCUCAAAUAUGAUCUCUAAGCUAAACUUAAAAUAAAAAUAAUGAAAUAGGGUUCUAGCUAGAUUUGAAUUGUAUUUUCGCGAGUGGUUCCUCUGGCUUGUACCGACUACACAAGGGCAUCCCUACGCUUCUUAUAGGUGCACUGUUGAUUAUACGUUUCUCAAGCACGUUUUUUCAAAGUUAAUGGGUGCACCCCUAUCAAAUCAUGUGGGUUCGCCUCUACUUGGCACCCAGUGACUCGAAAUCCUAAAUCCGCCUCUGCAUGCAUCAUACUUAGAAGAAUAAGAUUCAAUGAAACUAUUAUAGAUACGAUCUGGAGAAUCAUAUCUAAAAUAAUAAUAAUUGAUAUACUAUUAUAAUAGAUGGAACUAGAUAUGGCUUUUUUCAAUUUUCUUGAGGCUUUAAAUAAGGUGACCCUUAUCACCUUCUCUAUUCAUUCUUGUGGCGGAUUACUUUCCCGAAUUUUUUUAUAGUUGUAUUAUAUAUAUACUUCUAAUAUAUACUAAAUAUACUAUCGAUUAUAUUAAAAUACUUACAUUAUAUAUAUAUACUAGAUGGGCAUGGCACGGGCCCAACAUUUUAUAUUUUCAAAUAACAUGUAAUUUGCAUAGUCAUUCGGCAAUGAAAAAUAUCAAUAAAGAGUAGAAAAAGAAUAAAGUAGUACAUGAAAAAUGUAAAGCUAAAAUUUUCGGUACGAUUGAAGGAAGCGGAAGUCAUAUAUGGCAAAUGGUUAAUCUGCUCCCCUUCAGUCUUUUUCGCAUAAAUUUUCUAUUGUCCUUCCAAGUAUCUCAGCUCACUUCCCAAUUCUUUUUCCAGAAAGCUUGUAUGUUCUUUAAAAAUUGUACAUGCAAUAUAAAAAUUACACAUCAGAGAACAAACAAAUUAAGUUGUACAAUGAUUUACACUGCUCCUUUUAGCUGUCUUGAUUUGCUAUACCACCAAAAGCAAUUUUGCGACUGACCAUCCUAGAACAAUUAUUAGACGUGCUUCUUACUUCGUCUCUUCUGUCAAAGGCAAUAAGUAAUUCAUAUGAAGAAAGAUGAAAAUUGUGAAAGGAGUAAUUUUACUGAACCCGCAUUUUAACUCAACGAUUAAUUUCAUUUAACUUACACUCUCAAAGUAUCCAUGGUUACUUGGUGGAUGGUGUCAAUGCUCAUAAAGAACUUCAGAAUAUUUAAGGACAGUAACAGAAAAUCAGUCGAAAUUUUUAAUACUGUACAUUUUAGCAGAGACAUUGAACAUGUCCAACAGAAACCAGUAAAUAGUUAAACAAGGAUUUUGAAACUUCUGAUUUUGCUAAUGUCUUCAUGGGAGCAUUACUUUUCUAUGGUAGGUAAGGUGCCAUUGCUGACUUUUUGUACUUUGAAAAUUCUCAUUUGAGUUCAAGACAAGUAAAUUAGACCUGUUGUUAUCAUAAUUUUAUGUCUAGGAUUUGUCUAUGUACGUUUUCGUCAAAAAAAAAUACAAACAUCUAAACUCUCAAGGAAAUCAAACUAUACAUGUUUGGCCAUAGGUAAUAUUUGGAGAAAAAAUUGGCAAAUAGUAUUUGUCCGUACAAUUUGUCAUUAUUUGACAAAUAUUCCAAAUUUUCAAAUACUAGGCUAGCGUUUGGCCAUAGAUUUCCAAAUAUUUUUCGCAAAUAUUAUUUGGGUGAAAUUUCACCAUGUGUUUGGCCAUAAUAUUUGUGAAAUAUAUUUCACUUUUUAGAAAAAUAUGAUUUAUACCCAUAAGUUUUAAAAACUAUCAAAACUAACCAUAAGUUUGUAUUACAAGUCAAUUGGAUCUUCGUUGCAACAAAUAACAAGUAGUUUCCAUGCCACUAGAGCAAUGUGGUAGUUUGGAGUGAGUGCAACAAACAUUAUUUCAUACAUCGUGAAGUAGACAAAGCACAUGACUUUGUUACAUUGAGCCGAUUGUUCAUCAUUUUCAUCAACAACCAUAUCAUCACUUUCAUAUUCACUGAAUAUUUCAUCACUACUUUGGUGUUCACGUAAAAAAUUAUGUAAUAUAACACAAACAAUUACUAUAGAGGGUGUUUUUGUAAAAGAUAAAAGUUUGGUGUAAAAUUUCAAUUUUCAAAAGAUCCCAAAUAAUGAGAUUUGGCCCAAAUACUAGAAAAAACUAUGAAGAUAUCAAAUAUUGUCUUUCUCAAAGAAUCUCGAAUAUUUCGUAAAUUCAUCAAAUAUUCAAAGAUCAAUGGAGAUCAAAUAAAUCUGAAAAUAUCCCAUAAACUCUGACUAUUUAUAAAGAUCAAGAUAUCAAAUAUCUCAUACAUUGUUGGAUAUUCUCAAAUAGAUCAUGAAGAUAUCAAAUAUUGUCUUUCUCAAAGAAUCUCGAAUAUUUCGUAAAUUCAUCAAAUAUUCAAAGAUCAAUGGAGAUCAAAUAAAUCUGAAAAUAUCCCAUAAACUCUGACUAUUUAUAAAGAUCAAGAUAUCAAAUAUCUCAUACAUUGUUGGAUAUUCUCAAAUAGAUCAUGAAGAUAUCAAAUAUUGUCUUUCUCAAAGAAUCUCGAAUAUUUCGUAAAUUCAUCAAAUAUUCAAAGAUCAAUGGAGAUCAAAUAAAUCUGAAAAUAUCCCAUAAACUCUGACUAUUUAUAAAGAUCAAGAUAUCAAAUAUCUCAUACAUUGUUGGAUAUUCUCAAAUAGAUCAUGAAGAUAUCAAAUAUUGUCUUUCUCAAAGAAUCUCGAAUAUUUCGUAAAUUCAUCAAAUAUUCAAAGAUCAAUGGAGAUCAAAUAAAUCUGAAAAUAUCCCAUAAACUCUGACUAUUUAUAAAGAUCAAGAUAUCAAAUAUCUCAUACAUUGUUGGAUAUUCUCAAAUAGAUCAUGAAGAUAUCAAAUAUUGUCUUUCUCAAAGAAUCUCGAAUAUUUCGUAAAUUCAUCAAAUAUUCAAAGAUCAAUGGAGAUCAAAUAAAUCUGAAAAUAUCCCAUAAACUCUGACUAUUUAUAAAGAUCAAGAUAUCAAAUAUCUCAUACAUUGUUGGAUAUUCUCAAAUAGAUCAUGAAGAUAUCAAAUAUUGUCUUUCUCAAAGAAUCUCGAAUAUUUCGUAAAUUCAUCAAAUAUUCAAAGAUCAAUGGAGAUCAAAUAAAUCUGAAAAUAUCCCAUAAACUCUGACUAUUUAUAAAGAUCAAGAUAUCAAAUAUCUCAUACAUUGUUGGAUAUUCUCAAAUAGAUCAUGAAGAUAUCAAAUAUUGUCUUUCUCAAAGAAUCUCGAAUAUUUCGUAAAUUCAUCAAAUAUUCAAAGAUCAAUGGAGAUCAAAUAAAUCUGAAAAUAUCCCAUAAACUCUGACUAUUUAUAAAGAUCAAGAUAUCAAAUAUCUCAUACAUUGUUGGAUAUUCUCAAAUAGAUCAUGAAGAUAUCAAAUAUUGUCUUUCUCAAAGAAUCUCGAAUAUUUCGUAAAUUCAUCAAAUAUUCAAAGAUCAAUGGAGAUCAAAUAAAUCUGAAAAUAUCCCAUAAACUCUGACUAUUUAUAAAGAUCAAGAUAUCAAAUAUCUCAUACAUUGUUGGAUAUUCUCAAAUAGAUCAUGAAGAUAUCAAAUAUUGUCUUUCUCAAAGAAUCUCGAAUAUUUCGUAAAUUCAUCAAAUAUUCAAAGAUCAAUGGAGAUCAAAUAAAUCUGAAAAUAUCCCAUAAACUCUGACUAUUUAUAAAGAUCAAGAUAUCAAAUAUCUCAUACAUUGUUGGAUAUUCUCAAAUAGAUCAUGAAGAUAUCAAAUAUUGUCUUUCUCAAAGAAUCUCGAAUAUUUCGUAAAUUCAUCAAAUAUUCAAAGAUCAAUGGAGAUCAAAUAAAUCUGAAAAUAUCCCAUAAACUCUGACUAUUUAUAAAGAUCAAGAUAUCAAAUAUCUCAUACAUUGUUGGAUAUUCUCAAAUAGAUCAUGAAGAUAUCAAAUAUUGUCUUUCUCAAAGAAUCUCGAAUAUUUCGUAAAUUCAUCAAAUAUUCAAAGAUCAAUGGAGAUCAAAUAAAUCUGAAAAUAUCCCAUAAACUCUGACUAUUUAUAAAGAUCAAGAUAUCAAAUAUCUCAUACAUUGUUGGAUAUUCUCAAAUAGAUCAUGAAGAUAUCAAAUAUUGUCUUUCUCAAAGAAUCUCGAAUAUUUCGUAAAUUCAUCAAAUAUUCAAAGAUCAAUGGAGAUCAAAUAAAUCUGAAAAUAUCCCAUAAACUCUGACUAUUUAUAAAGAUCAAGAUAUCAAAUAUCUCAUACAUUGUUGGAUAUUCUCAAAUAGAUCAUGAAGAUAUCAAAUAUUGUCUUUCUAAAAAAGAUCUCAAAUAUUUCGCAAAUUCAUGAAAUAUUCACAAAGAUCAAUAGAGAUAAAUUUCAAAUCAUCCUAGUUCGAGAAAUACGCCUCUAACGACCCUCAAAUUAUGGAGAUCAAAAGUAUAAAUCAUCCUAGUUCGAGAAAUACACUAAUGGUCCUCGAAUUAUGGAGAUCAAGUCCAAAUCAUCCUAGUUUGAGAAAUACACCACGAACGACCCUUGAAUCAAGGAUAAAUUCAAAUCAUCCUAGUUUAAGAAAUAUAUUACUAACGGCUCUCAAAUCAUGGAUAAAUCUUAUGAGAGAAGAAUCAAGGGAGGAACAAAAUUGCACUAAUUUGAUUUAUCAAUAAAAUAUUCUCAUUUCUUCAGAUUUUAUUUAUGAUUGAUUUAUCUUCCAAAUAUUUAGGACCCGUUUGGCGAUAGAUUUUCCAAGUAAAAUUUGGGGAAAAUUUGAUAAAUAGUGUUUGUCCAUAUAAUUUUCCAUUAUUUGGCAAAUAUUUUUGGCAAAUAUCCCAAAUUCCCAAAUACUAGUUUUUUUUAGUAUUUGGGCUAAAUCUCAUUAUUUGGGAUCUUUUGAAAAUUUUGAAAUUUCACCAAACUUUUAUCUUUUACAAAAACACCUUCUAUAGUAGUUGUUUAUGUUGUAUUACAUAAUUUUUUACGUGAACACCAAAGUAGUGCUGAAAUAUUCAAUAAAUAUGAAAGUGAUGAUAUGGUUAAUCGGCUCAAGGUAAUAAAAUCAUGUGUUUUGUCUACUUCACGAUAUAUGGAAUGAUGUUUGUUACACUCACUCCAAACUACCACAUUGCUCCAGUGUCAUGGACACUAAUUGUUAUUUGUUGUAACGAAGAUCCAAUUGACUUAUAAUACAAACUUAUAGUUAGUUUUGAUAAUUUUUAAAACUUAUGGAUAUAAAUCAUAUUUUUCUAAAAAGUGAAAUGUGUGUUCCAAAUAUUAUGGCCAAAUACAUGGUGAAAUUUCAUUCAAAUAAUAUUUACCAAAAAUAUUUGGAAAUCUAUGGCCAAACGCUAGCAUUAUAUAGCAAAGAAAGUCCAAAUUGUCUUAACACAUAAAUGAUGUAACAAUACAUUUAAACAAAUUCCCAUCAGUUGGAGCUGCUCUUCCUCAUCCUCAAUUCUUCUAGUAAGGAAAUCAAGCUAUUGUCAGAUGAUCCGCCUUUCUCUACAGCCAUUUUAGCCGAAUUUCCUAAAGCAUCUGCACGGCCUCGCAUCUCCUCUGCUUCCUGACCAACCAUCACUUUGGUCACUGCUCUUUGUAUGUUUUCCCUGUUAAUUGGGACUCUGCUAUCUGUUCUUUGAGACCAGGCCUGAACACCUACUGGUACUCCAAUCUUUAAUAUCUCUACUAGUAGCUUUUCAUUAAAAAAUUGCUCAGCUGAUAGCGGCCAUGUGACCAUUGGCACUCCGGCACUUACUCCUUCGAGUAAUGAGUUCCAUCCACAAUGAGUCACAAAACCUCCCGUAGCUUCAUGAUCAAGGAUAAGCACCUGAGGUGCCCAUCCUUUUAUUAUCAAACCUCGUCCGUUCACGUUCAGCUUUUCUUCAAAUCCUUCUGGCAUCCACUCUUCAUUUGUUGUAUUUUGCCUCACCACCCAUAUAAAUUGUUGGUCUGAUGCUUCGAGAGCGGUUGCUAUCUCAAACAACUGAUCUGAUGAAAAGAUGGACAUGCUUCCGAAACAUAUAUAAAUGACUGAUUUUGGUUCCUUGGUAUUGAGCCAAUCCAAACACUUUUGCUCAGAAAGGGAACUGUCUUGGCCUCUUUGUGAUUUAUCUUCAUUGUCUUUAUUGCAGAGCGAAACAGGACCAACGUGCCACACUUUUCUCCCUACUACUUCCCUGAAGUGUCGUACAUAAUUUGGUUCCAUCUCAUAAAAGCUGUUUACAAUAGCUCCAUAGCUAGUCGCUUCUGCUCGCAUAAAAUCUUUAACUAUUGGAGUCAUUGGGGUUUCUUUUUCAUCCUUCCAGUGUUCUGAAAUCUUUGAUCUUGACAUCUUUAUUGUGUCAGGAAGGCCAGGGAUGACAAACUCUUCCGUCUCGGAUUCAACCUUCAAAUGAGGUUUGUGUUCCAUAAAAGAGUGAUAAGCACACAUAGGAAGUAAACCAGUGCCAUUAAAAGCUAGCCUUGGAAUUCCCAGCUUGGCUGCAACAUCAACAGCCCAUGAGAAGAAAGUUCCUGCUAUUAGACAAUCUGGAUGAUCUUCCUCCAUGAACUGUUCAACUGGCUGUUGAAACAAGUACAAGGCUAUGACGAAUUUUAGACUCAUUUCUGAACUAGUAGUAGAAGCUAAGUUUUCACAGCCCUCUGGCAAUCCAGCUUCUUUACAAGGGAAUUCAAUUGUCCGGAUGCUAAUAUCACUGCCAAGCUCUCUAUCUUUUUGGAUUGUUUUUGAGAAUUUAGUCGCGUUGAGAGGAGUCGUGAUGAUUGUUACCUUCACACCAUGCCUGGAAAAUUGCCUGGCCAUGUCUACUAAUGGUAUCAUGUGGCCUGGAGCCAUCAUUGGCAAAAAGUAUACAUGAAGUUGAUCUGUUCUUUUAUCCAUAGUUGCUAUAAGUAUGUAAAAAGAAUGUUGAAAGAAAAUAGGAGUUGUUGUAUUUCUAGCCUUUGCUCAUCCAGUUUUUUAUAGUCAAACCAAGAUUUAAAAAAUGUUGGAUUCUGGUUUUAGCUAAUGUUUCAUGCUGUAUUUACUUGUCAAAAGUAUGUAAGUUGUCAUUGCUGACGGUUAUCUACAAUUUAAUACGAGUGAUGUGCAAGAAAAGUAAAAAUUCUAUAGUUUAUAUGAUUUUUUUAUAUCUAGAUGGGAUUGAUCUUUGUCUUAUUUUUCUAGUAGUCAUGUGCAAUUAGUUUCCAAUGUUUUCUUCUUUCUGUCUGGUUGAGGUUUUAGAGAGUGAUUGGUUUGAAUUGUUUAUUAAAAUUUGGACAGAUGUAUAGUUGACUUGCUACACUGACUUUCUCCAUUGAGAAAAUCCUAUUGGAACGUGCGUGAUCCGAAUUUAGUUGAGCUUCAACCACAGGGUGAAAAACCAAAAAAAAAAAAACUCACUCCCUGCCACUAUAAUUUAUCAUAAUUAAGUGUCAAUUUUUUCUGAACCACUCAUCAAGACUAGCCAACAAGAAGUUUAUUGGAGUCUCACUAGGUAAGACUUCUGAAUGAGAUCACGGUUUUUGGACAGGAGAAUUGGUUUCGUAAUUCAUUUAUAAUAUUUAUUUUUCUAAUUUUAUUAUGUAUUUUUACAAGAAGUUUUUAUUUUUACAUAUAAAAUCUGAAAAAGGUAAUGUUCUUAUAUGUAGUUGUAAGUGGACAAGAGAUCCUUGUUUUUUACAUGUGUCAUGGCCCAAUAGCCCACAUUCAUUUCGAUGCGUGGCUAAGCUAGAGAUCCAGAACUUGGCCCAUAGUUAUAUUGGGCCUAGUCUGCAAUCAGCCCAACAUUGGCGUAGAAUUUCUUCGCUUAAGUUGGGCCAAGAUGCACACCGAACCAGCCAUUCUUCUGCGAGCCCAGGUACCAAAUCCUUAUGAGAAGUCGUUGGCCCUUUUCCCUCCUAUUAUGAUUUAUUUAUGUUCUAACUUCUACCAAACGACCCCUUAGAGAUAAUGAGAUCUCGUUAGUGGUAAGUUUCGUCUUUCAUUUGGUCGUGUUACUAAGUGGGGUCGUUUGGUUGGAAACAAGUUAUCCCAGGAUAAGUUAUCCUGGGUUAGCUAUCAUGGGAUAACUUAUCCCACCAUGUAUAUGAGAUAACUUAUCCCAUCACCAUGAUAUAAAUGGUGGGAUAAGUUAUCCCAAACAUGGCAACCAAACAACAUAAAAAAAAAUUAUUCCAUCACUAUUUCCUUAUCCCAUCACUAUUAUUUUUAAUCCCUCACACCAAACGAGCCAUAGUAAUAUUAGGAUUAUGACUCAACUCUCAACUAGACACUCUAAUUUAGAACAAACAAUAGUCAAGAGGUCAUAAUUCAAAUUAUAGUACCUGAAUUUAGGAUAACUAUCUAUCGAAUUUAUUUUAAUAUUUCCUAAUAAACCACGUGAACAUAAAAAUUUCAAGUGAAUAGCCUAAUAAGCAGUGGCGGAGCCACCUUAUAGCCUCUUUCGGCGGAAAAUUAUAUUAUUUAUACAUAGUUAAAAUAAUUUUUAGGUAUAUAUAGUAGAUGUCGAACCCUUUCGGCUAUUUCGUGUGUCCAUUUUUUCAAAUUUUGAACCCCUUAUUAAAAAUUAUGGCUCUGCCACUCCUAAUAAGAGAUUAUCUUUAUUCCUAUUGCUCCUUUUUGUGUUCACACUAUAUUUAUACCAGUAAUUUAUCAUCUUUUGUGUGCAUGAGAAAAAAAGUAUUAAAAAAAUAAAUAUAACAUAGGCGUGACAUUAAACUCCUCACUAAUUUUGCGCAAUGGAAUUCCACAUAUUCAUUCAUCUACCUAAUAAUCAUGAUUCUUUUGGUUUAUGGCCGAUGAGGUGCUCCACUUUCAACAUUUUAAAAUCCCAUUUAGCAAGAACUUUCUGGAAUCUUUGUUUAACUCCCCCAUUUAUAAUAGAUAAAAAGUUAAUUGUUUUUCCUUUUUAUUUAUUGUAUUUACUUGAAACAAUUAGAGUUUUAAAAAAAUCACACUACAUAACGAUAACUAAAAUUUUGAUUUGUAUCCGUUCACUUUGAUACAGAGCGAAUCGAUGCACAGACAAUUUUUUAAAAGUAAACUAUUGUUAUUAAUGUUAGAUUUGAUAAUUAGCUAAACUAUCAUGAUAAUUAAUAAUUCGAGCUUAAAAUACCGCCUACUAUGAAAUUUUCUCAUUGGAUAAUAACUAGACCAAUCACUAUAAAUUCUUCCAAUUACCCACUACAAUGUGAACUCAUGAGUCCUUUCAUCUUUUUCAAAACUUCACCAACCAAAAGAAUUAAUACCAUGCAUCUUUUAUGCUAUAAAAGAAAAUCAUUAUAAACAAUUUCUUCUCAUCUCUCCUCACUAAGUAACAAAAAAAAUUCCAAUUCCAUGAAGAUCUUUUAUUCCCUCAUUAUUUUUUCAAUUCUCAACAAUAUUAAUUGCCAAUUACUACCACCUUUACCAGCACCAAAUUUAACCUUCAUAGACCAAAGUCUAGCUCUAAUAUUCCCAAUAAUACAAAAUUUCAAGAACACAAUUACUCUUGAUCCUUUUGGUGUCACAAAAACUUGGACAGGCCCUGAUAUUUGCAAUUAUAAAGGCUUUUAUUGUGAUAAUCCACCUAAUAAUUCCUCAGCAAUUUCUCUUGCUUCUAUAGAUUUCAAUGGAUUUCAACUUAGUGCACCUACAUUAGAUGGUUUCAUUGAUCAACUCCCGGACUUAGCCAUAUUUCAUGCUAACACCAACAACUUUUCAGGCAUAAUUUCUUCGAAAAUUUCAAAUCUUCCAUAUCUUUACGAACUUGAUCUUAGUAACAACCAAUUCAUCGGUACAUUUCCCAUGUCAAUUCUCAAUAUCAAGACUCUAACUUUCUUGGAUAUUCGUUACAAUCUCCUAACAGGAAUAAUCCCACCUCAAAUUUUCGUACAAUAUCUUGAUGCAUUUUUUCUUAACAAUAACAAUUUCAUUCAAAAACUUCCAGACAACAUUGGAUCCACCCCUGCUUAUUAUUUAACCUUAGCCAACAACAAAUUCGUUGGUCCAAUCCCACGUAGCAUUGGACAAGCUCCGAAUUUGUUGGAAAUUUUAUUCUUGAACAACUUGCUCACUGGUUGCAUUCCUUAUGAAUUAGGCCUUUUGAAAAAAGCAAUUGUGAUCGACGUUGGAUUUAACACAUUAACUGGUCCAUUACCACGUUCAUUAGGGUGUUUGGAAAGUGUGGAACAAUUGAAUUUUGCUGGAAAUUUGUUAUAUGGACAAGUUCCAGAAGUGAUAUGUUCACUAAAAAAUUUAGUGAAUUUUACUUUGUCAUAUAACUAUUUUACAAAAGUAGGGCCACUAUGUAGGGAAUUGAUCGAUAAUGGAGUUCUUAAUGUUGAAAAAAAUUGUAUAAAUGGUCUUCCUAAUCAGAGAUCAAUAUUGGAGUGUGUAUUAUUUAGGAUGCAAAUUAAAUUGUGUCCAUUACAGAAGAGCUUGAGGAUCAUACCUUGUAAUAUUUCUAAUUUUAGUCCCCAUAGACCACUUAGACCAGAAAGACAUUUGAUUUCAUACUCUGCUUUGUCAAAACAUACAAAAUUGUAUUAAUGAAACCUUUGUUUUAGUGUCUUCUUGAUUUUUCUUUCCUUUUUUUCUAUGUUUUCUACCUGGUGUCCGGUACUACAGUUCAUCUCACAACUUAUUAUAGCAAAGGUUGUUUCCUGAUUAUUCAUUUGGUAUUUGAAAUUUAUUCAUCUGACUAAUUUAAAUUUGUACCGAAUAGGGCCUAUUGAAGGGAAAAAUAGCUCGAAUUCAAAAUCAUUAAUUAAAGACAAGAGAAAUGUCAUUUUAUCAUGCAAUACUCCUUGAUAAUUUAAUGCUGCAAAGUCAAUGGGACCUUGUGUUUUUUUGUUUUUAGAUUUGAGGAUAUAAUUAGCCGCAUGAAUUUUGAUGUGCCACUAGAACUACUUUUUGGGUCAAGCAAAAUAGUGGUGGAAAUGUUGUGUACUGUUAAGGGAAAAGUAAUUUUGUGUAAGCUAUUUGUUAUAUUGGGAGAUAGCAUCUAAACUACUCCCUGUUUACUUUUAUUUAUCUAAUAUUUUAAAGUAUAUUUUCAAUUUUUAUUAAUACUUUUAAUAAAUCAAAAAAAGAUAAUUAUGUUUUUUUAAUUUACUCUCUGCAUUAAUUACUUAUUUUUCAAAUCAUAUUAUAAGACCUAAGACUAUACAUCAAUUAAAUUAUUAAUAUGAGACUUGGGGUAAAAAUACUUCUCAUUUGAUGUUGUUACAGGGUAAGUGCGUUUUUUUUAUUUGGGAACAUGGUAAUUGAAUUUCAUUUCAAGCCACACAAAGUAGGAGGCAAUAUUGUGCAGGUUCCUUUAUUUAUUAUUAUUAUUAGAAGAAAAGGUUACCUGCAUAUUGUGAGAAUUUUAAUUUGAAAAAAAAAAAUCAUUGGAACUUCAAUUGGUACAGUAUUUGGUGUAAUGCUACUGCUCCAGCCUUCCAGAGGGGACAACACAACAACAACAAAAGUCAAAUUUUGAAGUCAAUAGUUAGGCCUUAGGGGUCGUUUAGUUACCAUGGUGGAAUAAAAUAUGGCAUAGCUGAUCCCUUUCAUUUUAUUUAAUAUUAAUAAUAUAUUCAGUAUAAUUUUAUAUGUGAGUUCUUAAAAGAGUCUAAAAUAAAAUAUAUACAAACCUUACUCUGGUUUUUACAACAUAAAGAUAUUAUUUUCGAUAAACCCUUGACUCAAAAAGAUAUAAUCAAAGCAAGAUAGAAAGAAAAAUGCAACCAAGAUAUAAAGAAAAAGAUGCUAUAUAAACGCUAAAUAAGAAGAAGACGAGAAUAAAAGACUAGCUUCCUGCCUCUCCAACAUAUAAGUACGACAACAACCAGCUAUAUAUUAUUCUUUUACCCUAAUCCUUGCCUCCCUACAUUCAUAUCUAAGAUCAUAUCCUCAUCUCCCCCAAAUUAAAGCUAGUUUGGAUUUGAAUUUUAAAAAAAAUAGUUUUUAAGUCAAAAAAUAAAAAGUAGGAGGAGAUCUACUUCUGAUUUUUAUCAUUUUUUAUUUAUUUUAAGUUAUUUUAAACUUUGUCAAACACUUCAAAGAGUUAUAAAUGACUUGAAAGUAUGUUUGACCAACUUUUAAAUCAAUCCAAACAGAAUCUUUAAUCUUCUUCGAUCUACCUCUAACUAUCCUAAAACAAGAUAGUCACCCUCUCACACAUCCCUAUUGGUGCUUCCACACAUCUUCUCUUCAAUGUCCACACUAUUUCAAUCUCGUUUUCCUCAUAUUGUCCGGCGACGCCACCCAGGCCACUCUCAUCUUGUCCUCUAUAAUUUUAUCUUUAAUCUUAUAUCUCCUAUUAUGUCCAAAUUCAUAUAAAAAAAUUCACCUUCACUACCUUCAUCUUUUAAACGUGUGCUUAAUAUUCAUAACCAAACAUAAAUAAAAUAAUCACGUAAAAUAUUCAAAACUAAUAUUCCUUAUCCCACGAAUCAAAUGACCUCUUAUGGGUUGUUUGGUAUGGGGGCUGAAAUUGUCAAAAUUAUCUCACCAUAUAUAUAUAUAAUAUAACUUACUCCAUCAUUAUAGUACAAAUCAAUGAAAUAAAUAAUUUCAAAAUUAAUUUAUUCCUGAUCAGUACUACUUAAGUAGUCUUCCUUGCUCUCCUAUUCAUGGUAUCUAAAAAAUGUGGUAAUAGUACUAUGAAAUGACAUGGACCAUUCAGCUAAUGGCUUAGUGGGCCAAUAAUAUUUAAGACAUACAACAAAUUAUAGAAGACCCAUCAUAGGCCCAAUAUUGAAAAUAAAGAAAGGGGCCCAAAUCUUCUCCGUGCAGAUUCUUCGUUAAGGGUCAAUAUUAGUAGUAUUAUUAUUUUUAUUUUUCCCUCACCGACACGUUCACCGCCGUAAAGCCCGUUAAGUUUUAGACUUUUAUCACGUGAGCCACGUGAUCCGCCAUAAAAGAAGAAUGAGCCCAUGGGCCUACUAGGCCCACUGUUUUUUUAACUGACGGUCCACGUGAAUUCUGCUGACACGUUAUCUCACGCUCGCUUUGAAUUAUUCACUCACACGCGUCGCACAAUCUGAGUCGUGUAACAUUAACGCUUGCUCAAUGCGCGUGGGUAAUCAUUUUUUGAGAAAAAACUCAUUCCAAAUUUUCGAAUUCAAUCACCGACGAUUCAUCCAAAAUUUGAAACACAAGUGUCUGUCGCCUCCUCGUUUGGAUUUUUAUAUAUCACCACCUAACUCAUAAAUUAGAUUUUUGGAUUACACUGUUUGUAAAUAAUUUUUUUAUAAAAAAAAUCUGUUAUUCAAUUUGAUAUAGUAAUGUUAGUUUAAUAUUUCCAAAGAAUUCUGAAAGUUUUUGUUUUCCAUUUGAUUUGACUUCUGAUAAACAAUUAAAAUUAUUAUUCCACCAUUUAGUCCAAAAUUGAGGGAAAAUUUGUUUCUAUUUUCAAUAUUGAGGAUACAUAUAACAAAUCUUUUAUUCUUGAUUCAAAUUUUAUUAGAUCGAAAUCGGACACAAAGUGAAGAAAAAAAAACAUGUACCAAACCUACCAUUAAGAGAGAAAAUAGUGAUUUUUGGCUAAUAACAGAAGUUUCCUAAGCUAAAACUGUUUUCUUUGUCAGACUCUGUUUAAGUACUUGAAAAAUUCUUGCAAAAAUCUAACCGCAGAGAUUUAAUUUAAUGAUUUGAAGUGUCAUUUUCAGCUAAACGAGGUUUUUAGAGUAAUUAAUAUAGUAACUAAAUCAAAAGAAGAAGACAGCUAAAAUUUUGAAAAGCAAUAUUUGAGUUCAUCAUUGCUUUAGCUUCUAAAUAUUUCACACUUGAAAAACCUAUGAAAUAUUACAGAUUACUCAUAUCUAUAAACUUGAUAAAAAAGAAAAAGACAUUGGCUUCGUGUUUUUAUUUUUGGCUCAAACAGAAGAAGAUGAUGAUGUUGUGGGAGAUGAAGAAGGAUCAAAGACUGAGCAAAACUCAAACCUAUUAGCUUCCAUCUUUUCCACCACGAAAUGCCCCAACAAUUCUUUCGUUUCCACCAAAUUCUCACUGCACAAGAACUCUUCACUGCAGAUUUUCUCUACAUUUCUGUCGAUUUCGUGAACGAAAACAUGGGUUUUGUCGGAAUUACCUCUCUUGCUCCGGGCAAAAACGCCGGCGGUAAAUAUAGCCGUCAUCCGUCCCGGAGCGGCAGAGGAAAACCCACGUGGCCCGUCAAUCAAAAUGACAUCCCACGGCACAUCGUAUAUGUGAUUUGGUAGGUCAUUUAUCCCCAAUUUACAGUCGGAAAAUAGAAGAUUCUGCACAGGCCGGCACUCCCCUCUGAGCUGCUCUUUCGUGUAAUCCAACAAAUCGUGCAAUUCACUAACUUUAGUCGUGAAUUGAACAUCGUAAGCUUCAAUUUCCGGGUGCUUCUCUUCUAACUUAGAUACCAAAUAAGCACUUUCGUCAACAAAAACCGUACGCCCUUUGUGAUUGAGCGAAUGCCACAAAAGGGUUUCGUGAGUAAGACCAAAAACAAGGAAAUUACAAGGAGCUUUACAACGGCGGAGCACAUUAGCGAUCGUCUUCAGCUCCACCGCCGACAUGCGGGAAGAAACAGUAGACGAGUUCAAAGAAGCAUAAUGAAGAAGCGCGUUAAAUACAGUCGCCGGCAACGGAGAGCUACCGGCGGCGGUAUCCGUGCCGGUUUUCGCGAUGGGUAUCGCAUCCUUAGCAGUGAAGAAAGUAAGUGCAAAAGCAAAAGUGAAAAAGGAAAGGAAAACAAGAAACCAAAUACGAGGUGAAGCAGUAAUUGUUCCUGAUCCUUGCUUGUGAAGAGAUGGGUGAAAAACUAUAAGCUUAGCAUUACUAGCCUUCAUUCUCUCUCUCCCUGUUUUUUUCUGAUUUUUCUUUCGCUGAUUUCUUCACAUGAAAGUAUACAGAGAUAUUCCGGAGGGAUUAGGGAGAAAAAAGCAGCACGACACGAUUACCUAGAUUUCUGUACGUGAGAUUUCUCUACUUUUUUUUUUUUUCCUCCCUUUAUAUCUUUUUGUAUUUAAAAAUCUGAAAGCUUAUAACUAUUGUUGGACGAAAAUAAUAAUAUAAUACGAGAAUGAUUUGAGAGAGAGGGUGUUGGGAAGCUAUAUAAAAUUAAAAAAUUGGAGUUAAUGGGAGGAGGUGAUAAUGAAGUUCUGAGGGAUUUGGUUGUUGUUUGGCGAACCGGCAAGAUAAACCAGCAAUAUUAUGGCGCUUAAAUAAGGAGGGACGGGAGGGUGGAUUAAUAUUUUAUUUUUCCGUGUUUUUUGGGUCAGUUUAUUUUAAUUUCUAAUUAUAUGAUAUAUAAAUAUUUGAUGGUACAAUAAUUCUAGAUCUAAAUUUGGAAAUUCAAUACAUAGAUUAUUAAUCGAAUACUAACAGCUAAGGUUAAAGAGACUCAAGGGUGGAUGAAUUUGAGAACAUAGAGAUAUUUGAAUAUAUUCAUGUAAGUUCAUUUUUACUUGUCAUAUUUGAAUUUGAUAAGAUCAUUAUCCCUCUAUUUUUAUUUGUAUGUCACCGUUUUAGAUUUUACGUCCCUUAAGAAAUUACUUCCUCCAUUUCAAAUUAAUUAAAUUGUUGAGACAUUUUCUAUUUUUCAAAUUAAUUUAAUUGUUCAAUCUUUAAGACUAUUUUAAGAAUAUUCUCCCUUCAUUAGUUAGUAUUAGAAUUAGUUAUUAUAGUUAAUGUUUAGUUAUUUUAAUCAUAAAUUUGACAAUAAUUAAUAAGGGUAAAAAUGGAAAGUUAUGCCUAAUUUAUGUAUCUUCUUUUCUUAAAGGAUGUGAAACACCUCAACAAUUUAAUUAAUUUGAAAUGAAUAUGUAAGUUUAUCAUUAUAUUUUUAUUUAGUAUUCUCUUGCAAUCAAGUUUUCAAUAAAUGAACAUAAACUAGUUUAUUUUGAUUAAUUAAAUUGGUCAAUAAAUAUGAAUUAAUCAUUUAGUUUUCUCGUGAUCAUUCAAUGUUAAUAACUCCUAAAGAUAAAAUAGAAAGAAUAGUGCUACUUAUGUAUUGAUUUGUGAAAUGACAUUUAUUAAAAAAUAUCUAUUUGUUUUUAAUAAAUAUGACAUAUAAAUAAAAACGAAGGAAGUAAUAGAGUAAUGUUUUGAUUAUUAUUUGAAAAUAUACCCUGCAAUAAAUAUUCUAAAAUGAUGGAAGAAAAAGAAGCAGUGUACUCAAAUAACAUUUUAUAAUGUACCCCUUUAAUCUUUCUCGUGUCAAAGAGAUUAGAAUGAACACAAAUCUUAUUUUUAUAUUAUAUAGUAAAAAGACUGUUUUUAAUAGAGAUCCGACUCAACAUAAAUGUGAUCAUCAAAUAUUAUCAGUUAAAUUAUAAUGUAUCAAAAAUAUCUUUUAAAAUUAUGAUCUUAAAAAUAUCAUGUGAAAAAUUAAAAUUAAAAUUAAAAAAUUAAUAAAAUUAAUUGCAUAUUUUUUUAAACGAAAUAAAAGAAUAAUAGAACAAAAAAAAAAUUGAAACAAACUUUUAAAACAUUCGGCAUGUGUCAAUACUUUUAAAGGGCAAGAAGUAUUUGCAAUUUUCAGUCUUUAAGAGGAGCACGUUACGUUCAAGCUUAAUAGGUAAUUAAAAUGACAAGGAGUGUUUUUAUUUUAAUAGGUUCUAUGAUAUCAUAAUUAUUUUAAGUUUUCUUUCUUAUAUUGGAAAGAAGAGUCCGCUGAAUGUAAUAGAACUCACAAUUCAAUUUAAAUUGUCUUUAUUAGGAAUUAAUUAGCUCGAGGGAUUUGAACAAUUAGAUCUGUUAAAAGUGUAUUUGCUGAUUCCGUUUUAGCACUUAACAUCAAAGCUACAAAUACAGAGAGUUCCAUAUGGAUUUUGUUGUUGAGAGCCUAAAUUAUAUAAUUACCGUUGGGUUUAAAUAAGGUAUUAAAUCGUAACAUGUAUUGGGUCAUCCAGUGAUUAAAUAUUGUCAUAACAACACAAGGGUGUAAUGACAUUAAAUAAUACUUCAUAUGUCCAAUUAUUAUGACAUAAUUUGAAUUUCGAUACUCAAACAAUAUAAGUUCAAUCAUGUAUUUGAUAAUGAAAUCUUCAAAAAACUUAAAUAAAAUUUAUAUGUAUAUACAUAAAAAGUAUUAUAAGCCAAACACAAUCCAAAAUAUAUAAUCUCACAAUUGUACAAAUAAUUUUAAAAAAAACAUUUUGGUGGAAUGACGCCUUUUCUUUUUUUAACUUUAGCAAAGUGAAAAGAACAUCAUAUUGGAAUAGACAUAUUAUUAAUUUAACAAGGGAAUUAUUUUAAAUUAAUGUUAAGUAAUAACCACUAAUGUCAUUAGACUAUACUAAAAAGAACACGUUCAUGCAAUGAUAGAUUAAGUGAAUUUUAUCUCUAAAAAGGAAAAUCAUGACAAUUAAAAGUGAACAGGGGUAUCAAUUUAUUCUUUGACUUUAUUAAAUUUAAAGUUUUAAGAAUGUGUUAGAUGAUAAAAAUUAUUUAAUAGUAAGGGCAAAAUAGACACAAAAAGUAAAUUAUUUUUUAAUUUUCUAAGCUAGACAAGUAUUGUUGGAUAACUAUUUUUAGUAUAGUGGACAAUUAUUGUUGGACGGAGGGAGUACAUAUUGUUAGGACCGAAAAUAAGAAGGUAUAAUGCGGAAGCUAGCAAAGCGAACCUCAAAAGACCAUGAGUUAGAAGACAAACGAGAAAUUUACCAAAAGACACAAAGAUUUAACGUAGUUCGGUCAACCGACCUACAAAGGAGAUGAGCAAUCCAAUAUAAAUAUGAGAGUACAAAAUAUAGAGAGAAACAAAUAAUAAACAUUUUGGUGGAAUGACACCUUUUCUUUUUUAACUUUAACAAAGUGAAAAAAACAUCAUAGUGGAAUAGACAUAUUAUUAAUUUAACAAGGGAAUUAUUUUAAACUAAUGUUCAGUACAACCACUAAUGUCAUUAGACUAUACUAAAAAAAACAGGUUCAUGCAAUGAUAGAUUAAGUGAAUUUUAUCUCUCAAACAUAAUUUAGUUUGGUAACACAUAAUUAAAUUAUUGUUAUUCACAUUCUUUUGAAGUCCUUAUAAAAUUCACUGUACAUACAAUAUUAAUAAAAACUUAUAACAGUACAUCUCCUCUAUCAACUGCGGCAAUAUUGCACAAUUAUUCAGAAAAAAAAAGAAAAGGAAUACCAAUAAGUUUGAUAUUGACAUCUAAUCUAAUUUAAUUUAAUUUAUUUAUUUCAUGAUAUUGACAUAUAGUUACUGUCCCUAUUCCGUAAUUAGUACAUUCCUUAACUCUAAUAUAAAUUCAUAUAAUUAUAGUACCCAAAAAUGUACAAACACCUCACAUUUCACAGUAAUUACUAUAGUAUAAAAUUAUUUGAAUGUGGGCCUUGUCUAACGUACUUGUUCGAAAUUGACCAUAUAUUUUGUUGUUAUUAGUUGCAGUUAUAUCAUUUUCCUUAUUCAUAUAGUAAUUUAUAUUGAACUGUGAAUUCCAUAAAUGUGGCCAGGGCCAAGUUUAGGAAAAUCGACUACUGUUGAGGUGCAAAUUAAUGAUUGUUGGAGGUGUGUCACCACAUAUUUAAAAAUAUGGGUGGGUGUAGUAUGGCUAUAGGAUAUUAUUCCAACAACCGCUAUUGCGCUUGUUAAUUUAAAAUUAUAGAUCUAUCUUUGUUUAAAAUUUCUUCGUGUAUCUAAUAAAAGAAUUCGAUGAUUUUUUUUGGUAAUUGAUCAAGAUUACAUUCAUCACAAAGGUAACGUAAAAUUACGAAGCUAUAGCUAAGCUAAGAGAACAACUUGCUAUUAUAAAAUCAAAAACAAAUUAAAUUGAACAAGAGAAUUAAAAGGAGUAAAGUAGUAUAUAUAGAUAAGUUGAUGAACAAUUUGUAUAAUCCCUUUACUGGCUCUAGAGUGGGGGUGGCGCCAAAAUCAAAUCCAAUCCGCAGCUCAAUCCGAUUAAAUUUGGGUUGGUUAUUGAUCCAUUCAUUCAUUAGCUUAACCCAUUCAACUCUCUAAAAAUAGGGUUGACAUAUAACCCGAGUCAACAUAUUUUUUUAAAAAAAAUAAUUAAUUUGAUAUGUUAUAUAUAAUCAUAAUAAAAAAUAAAAUAAAAAUAUUAGGUACUAAAAUAGUUUUUAAAAAACAAAUAAAACAAUUGAGUUGAGUCUUGACUCGUUAUAUAACACUUUUUGACCCAAAUAAAUUAGGAUUGAAUUAGAUCUUGACCCAAUUAUAUCUAUUUUGACUCGUCCAAAUUUAACUCAACCUGCUCAAUUUUCAACCCUCCUCUAGAGCUACCUAGCUCCUUGGCAACUGAAUCCCUUUUUAUUUUAAUAUAAUAUAUCACAACUAAAACUGUGUUAUGAACGAAUAGUCUCUUACGAGACAUAAGUGAAAAGUUCGUAAAUUAUGUGUUAGAUGCAAAGUAAAAGCAUGUGGGUCAUAUAUAAAUCACAAGUGGGUGGGAAAUAAGUGUUCGGUUUUGGUUUUUCAAGUUGGGGUCGAUUUAUUAUUUGAUUUCGCGUUUGGUAUAAGGGUCUCAAAAUUUUGAUAUAUCAAAAAAUCAAAUUUUUAAUAAAAUAUUUUAUUAAAAAUAUAUAAAUGAACAUUUCUUUGACAAAAAAAAAGGUCAACCAACAAUUAAAUCAUUCAUAAACUAAUCAAAGUAACAACAAAUUUAUUAUUCAGAUAGUUAACUUCAACUAUUAAUUCACAAAAGGACUAAAAUGUUUUUUUGUCGAUCUACGUCAUGUGAAGGAAUCCGUCUGCGUCUUUAUAUUUCUCGAGCAAUAGUUGGAGGCAUAAUGUUCUUGACAAAGACAAAUAAGAUCUUCCAAGCACAAUAAGUGUUUCAUGGUGCAACACAUCAUCACUUAACGUAGUUUUAAAUUUUUAAGUGUCUUAUAUUUUAAUUUUGUUCUCAUUUUAUUUUUCAUUCAGACUGAAAAAUAAUUUUAAAAACACCAAAUCAAACCGAACCGAAUUAGUUCGGUUCGAUAUUUGGUGCACAUAUUUUCAAAAUCAAAAUUUGAUAUAAUCAAAUUGAAGAACCGAACGCGUACCCUAAUUAAGGUUAUCAUGUGAACCUAGUAAUUUUUGGUUAAAUUUCAUAGAAGUCUUGUAUUAAAAUGUUAUUUCCUUCGUUCAUGUUUUCUUAUUUGUGUUUGAUUUAACACAUUCUCAAGAAAUAAUAAAUAAAAUAUUUUAUAAUAUCAUUUUUAAUUAUUAUAAGUCAUCUGAAUAUUAUAAAAUAAAUAAUACUUAAUAAUAAAAAUAAAGUAAAUAUGAAAAUUAUAAAUUAUUUUUAAAUUUUUUGAAGUGAACCAGUAAAAUUGAACAUGUACUAAUUAAAUAUUGUUAUAGUAAGCGCGAGAAUGAACGGUAAUUAUAAUUUUUGGGUCAAAAAGUGUAAGGUUGUUAGAGAAGUGACAACAUACCGCUCCGCACUUAACGCCUAAUUGCAGUUUUGGUCAUUGUGUUUACUCUUUAAUUUGCUGUUUUUUCUUAAUCCAAUUACAUGUGCUAUUGUGACGACUGGAUAAGCUUUAUUAUUACUCCCUCUGUUCAAUAAUAUUUGUUACUUUGCACAAUUCUUAAAUUAUAAAUAGAAGGGUAAUUUUUUUAUAUCACAUUUUGAUUAUAAUAAAUUUAAUGUCUUGAAAAAAUGUAAUGAGGAAAUGACUAUAAUUAAUGAUAAGGGUAAAUUAGAAACUAAAUGUAAAAUUAUUCAUUAAUUUUAUAAGAUAAACAACUAUUAUUGGACGGAAAGUACUCAUUUUCAAUUUUCAUGCCUUGUUUGUUGCUAUAAUUAUUAUGUGCUUGACUUCAACUUUUUUAAUCAAAUCAAAUCUUUUGGAUAUAUAGCAAGCAAAUUUCAUUCCUCUUUUUGAGGAAAAGGACUAUUGUUGAAUUAGUUUAAUUAGAGUAGUAUUUUUAGAUUGUGUGGUUUAAUUUUUGUAUUAAUAUAUUCAAAGUUAAGUAAUUUUUGUGGAAAAAUCUUGAUUCAAAUUUUUGUAUUUUCCUCAAAUGACCGAAAAGAAAUUUAUGCAAAUUUGGUUGUGUUUAUAAACUUUUAAACUCAAAUAUAAGGUGAGACCUCAGAAGGUUUUCCUCCUAAAUAUAUAUAUAUAUAUUGAUAAACAAUUUUAAGUGAAAUUUUAUUAUAUAUAAUCUAGGAGAGUAGAAUAUACGUAGAUCUUAUCAGUAUCUAAUAGAAGUAUGAAGACUAUUUUCGAAACUUAAGUAACAAAAGAAGAAAACCAUAUAGAAAGCAUAACAAUUUUAAAAAAAAUUAUAGGAUGAAAUGAGAAGAAAAUAUUGUGCCAGAAUGCAUGCUUCCUAUUAUUGCUAUCUUUUUCUCCAUAACUUACUUUAUUUUAUAUAAUAUAAAAAUAUAAUGUAAAUAAGACCACAAACUUGGCUUUUAGCUAUGACUUGAUUUGAAAUCCUUUUUUCCCCACCUUGUGCCCUAUGUCUCGAUUUUGGAUUUUGAAUAGUUUAUAUUUGCACAACGUAAAACACAUUCAAAAAAAAAUUGCUCUAUAAUAAUAGAAUAAAAAAUAUAUAUUCCAUCACAAUCUUUGGAUCGUUUUAAUGGUGAAAUCAUACUUUCAAACAAAUAAUGAUGAGGAAUCUCUGCUUUUUUUAAGGCAAAGUACCAAAGGUAAUCAAAUUAGUGGGAAGACCAUAAGAAGUGUCUUGCCAUAAAGAAACAACUUUUAUAAAAUUAAUAUUUUCCAACCAUCUUCUUUUGAUUAAUUAAUAAGAAAAAAAAAGCUUUUCCCAAACACAACGUAAAUCAAGCCUAUAUUGAUUAUUACUACGUUAAUCAUUCUUGUUUAAAGGCUUAAGCCUUAAACAUAAUAAUGCACACCGCUCUGUGUGUAGUCCCAUUAUUCUAGUUGUCCUAGAGUACAAAAUGUUAAUUUAAAAAAUAAAAAAUAUUUCGAGAAUAUCCUAUUUCUUUUUAGGUGUGCUGAAUAUAGUACGUUUUUAAAUAAGUCCCCUUUUCAAUAUGAUGAAACACCAAAUAUUUUUAAACAUCAAUUUUUUUGUUAAAUUCAUUUUGUUACGGAUUAAGGAUAAGAGUAUACAAAAAAUCAAUUAACUAGAAACUUUUUAGCACCAAAUUAACUGGAGAUUGCUGAUAAACUUCAUAUUUUUUAGUGAUGAAACCAUUUAAAUUUAAUCAUCCUUAAGUAUUUAAACAUGUAUAAAAUUUGGAAACAUAUAAAAACCAAUAAUAAAGCACAAAGUCGCAAACAAUAACAAAAAUAUAUUACUCCCUCUAGGUCAUUUUUUUUUACCUAUUGUACCCUCAAUUAAUUAUUUUGAAAAAAGUAGAACUUUUUGAAAAUCUUAAGUUUUUAAUUCAUCCAAUUCCUAAUUAAUAGGGGUAAAAAUGGUAAACUCAUUAUGUCAAUUUUUUUUAAUAGGUGUGUUUGCUAGGAGAAUAUUUUCCAAAAAACAAAAAGUAAUUUAAUGAUACUUGAAAAUUGAAACGACGGAAAUCAUUUUCUAGGGAAAAAAAAGAAAUCGAUUUCAUAAAAUUUAGCAAAAUGACAUAAAUCUCAUUUUCCUUGCACAUAUUUUAACUUUUAAUUUUUUAUCACUUGAUUCAACUAUAAUAAUCUAUAUAUAUGUUAUUGUGAAUCUCUACAUUCUCUUUUAUCCAAAGUUUCAUCAAAAUACUAUGUAAUUUGUUGAUAUUAGUAUUAAUAUUUAUUUAUUUAUUUGAUUUUUUUUCAUUCACCGUCCCAGCAUGGAAAACAUUUUCCAUUCCAAACACACCCGUGCAAUAAUUCAGAAUGUAUUAGUCAAAGAGGAAAUUGCAAGAAAUAAUUAUUAUAAUAAAAUAUCUUAUAUUCCUCUUUGGUUGUACUCUCAUGUAUCAUGUAUGGGUCAGAGAGGAAGUUCAGAUUCUGUAUGAUGAUUUUUUAAAAAUCAAAUGCGUUUAUUAAUUAAAAAAAAUUCCCCUCGGAUUUAGACUUUUCUUGUCAAAUUGCUUGAGAAAAUUACAUAGUUUGCACUUGUUAUAAUAUAUGGUAACUUGGUCUCAUUUAAUUUGGAUAUGAUUUGAAAUCAGAUUAAUUUGAAAUUAAUUUUUUUGACUAGAUAUGCAAUUCAAAUUUCAUAAGUUAUGUUUUAUUUUUUAAUCAUAAACAUGAAAAUCUCAAAAAUUAUGAGAAUUAUCAUAAUUUUUUUUUGAAAUUUAUAUAAUCUUACCAAAUAAGCAACUCACAAUUCAUAAAUAAGACAUCGAAAUAUCCUAAGGCAAUGUAUUGAUAAAUCAUAUAUCUUCAUGUUCCUUUUAUAAAUAAAUAUUUAUCGUUACAAACUUUUAAAUACACAUAAUUUUGUAUAUAAAGAUUUAUUAGUUAACAAUUGUAGUAGUAACUAGUUUUUUUCAAUAUAAUCCUUUUGUUUGGUACAAACAAGCUCUUCACCCGGAUCAUAAGUUUUUUUUCUUUCCAAAAUUUAAAAUGAUGAAAUAAUUUUUAUAAAAAUAUAAACUUAUGAGUCAAGUUUUACAUUUAAAAAGAAUGAAAUCACAAUUAAUUGGAAUCUCAAAUCCAAUUUUUUUUUGGAGAAUUUACAAAUUUAAAAUCAUGAUCUCAAAUAACAUAUUUGUGAAAUCCCACUAAAUGAGGUAUGGGGAGGAUAGAAUGUACACAAUCAUUGUCACCAUUUUGUAAAAGCAAAUAAACUAUUUUCGAAAGACCCUCAACUCAAGUGUUCAAUAGCUGAUUUAAACUCAUAAUUUCAAAUCACAUAUUCAAAUGCCUAUUUGAAUUCCCCAUUCUUUUAAUAGCACUAGUGUUUCUUGAGUCAUCAAACACAGCCUCCUCAUGGGCCAUGGCGUUAUCAACCACCCAUAAUCAUCGAAUGUACCAGUCUUACGUCAAACUAAACUGUACAAGAUAAUUUGAGAAUAUAUCAUUGGUUUUUUUUUUGUUAUAUAAAAAUAGGAAACUCAUUUAUAUUAGGAAUAUAUUGUUGUCCUCUAUUGGAGGAAAAUGAAGAUUUUAUUAGGUUUAUAUGGAAAAAAAUCUACACUAACUUAUAGAAUUGAAAAUAUCGACAUAGAGUUAGAAUUUUAACUUUAAAUAUUUUUUUAAGUAAUAAUAAUUGAGUUUUAAAUGUAAUAUUAUAGAUAUUUACUGAAUUUCAUAACACAAACACAUAAUUAAAUGGCAAAUUUUGUUCUAUUUUAAAAGGAAAUAUUGUAAGAGUAUUAAAAAAAUCUCAAGAACAUACAAUGAAUUAUAUGAGUUCAAAAUUAAUUAAAGUUUUGUUUAUAUUAAUUAAGAGUACUUACUAACGAACAUAGCGGGAUAAGAGAUACAUUUAUUUUCUAAUAACUAUAUUUAAUGCAUGACCUGUACAUUGCCUCUCUCAAUUUAUUACUAUUAAUAAAAUACUUCACUUAUAUUAUAAAAAAAACAUAAAUGGUGCUUUGCACCAAUAUUUGAUCUGUAUUCUUCAUACUAGUACUAUUUCAUGCCCAAGGGGGAAAAGUAAAAAGUUUCCUAAUCAAGAUAGGUGUCACUGAGUCAUUAUGCACUCGAAAGUGAAUUCAUUUUUAGAAUUUACGUGAGAUUAUUUGACUGGAUAUAAAAAAAAUCACAAAAAAUUAUAUAAAGAAAACGACUAAUAAUAAAAUAGUGUUACAUGAAUUAUGAUAAAUUUGUAUAAGUAUAAACUAUUGAAAACGAAUAAUCUUGGCGCCCAUUGACAAUCGUUUGUCUCCAAUAUUGAAAUUCUAUGAGUACAUCAUGAUUCAUGAAGAUGAUUUAUUUUCACAUUAAAAAGAAGAAAAUUCAGGGGGAAAAAAUAUUACGUCAUAUUUAUUGGAUUUCUGACCAGAAAAUAUAAUUAAAUGAUACUCUACAUGACAUCAAACGUAACUAGUCUAAGUCACAAGUUAAGGACACACAUACUUAACAACACAACAACAAUAUAAUCCAGUCAUGACUCAUGAAUCAUGCGAUCGAAUUUUGAGAGAAUAGAAUAUACACUGAUUUUUUAAAUUUUUGGUAAGAUAGAUAAUAUAUUUUCGAUAAACUUUUGGCUCAAAUAGAAAAAAGUUCGAAGUAUGACAAUACAAAUGUAUAACAAUAAAAAAUCAAAGGUACAAAACAAAUGAAGAAAGGGAAUAUUAAAAGAGGGUAAUACAUGUGGAAGAAAGGAAAACAACCUGAUUACUAUUUAAAUUACUAAUUUGUGGUGAUUUUUAAUUUGACAUUUUAAGUUGUAACUAAUAACGACAUCAAUUUAUUAUUAAAAAACAAUAAAAAAUUAAGUGAUACUCCACAUGACGUCAAACUAGUCUCAGAAGUCACGAGUUUAGGACACAUAUUUUAAUUGCUAAGUUGGAGAAAAUUUUAAUCUAACAUUUUAAAUGUGAAUUAAUGACAUCAAUUUAUUUUUGUAAAGAAAAAAAAUAUAUUUGACUUUGAGUUAGUUUGAUCUUUCGAUUAUUUUAUUUAUUGACAUAGUUUUAUUAUUUUAAGCAAAGUCUACUACUUUGAUUUGACGUUGCAUGUGUUGAGCGUGAUAUCCCUACUAACAUAUUUAACUCAAAUCUUUAAAUUAAAUUAAUUUAACUAUUUAUUUCCAAUCAUUUUAGUCUACUUCUACUUUAAUUUCCAAGGGCCAAAUAUAUAUUUUCACUAAGAUUCUCAAAAUGUAUUAUAGUUAUCCGAACUUUAAAUUAAAUUAAUUUAACUAUUUAUUUCCAAUCAUUUUAGUCUACUUCUACUUUAAUUUCCAAGGGCCAAAUAUAUAUUUUCACUAAGAUUCUCAAAAUGUAUUAUAGUUAUCCGAACUUUAAAUUAAAUUAAUUUAACUAUUUAUUUCCAAUCAUUUUAGUCUACUUCUACUUUAAUUUCCAAGGGCCAAAUAUAUAUUUUCACUAAGAUUCUCAAAAUGUAUUAUAGUUAUCCGAACUUUAAAUUAAAUUAAUUUAACUAUUUAUUUCCAAUCAUUUUAGUCUACUUCUACUUUAAUUUCCAAGGGCCAAAUAUAUAUUUUCACUAAGAUUCUCAAAAUGUAUUAUAGUUAUCCGAAAUCUAAUAAAAUGACUGAUCACUAUACUAUUUACAAACAAGUUUUUAAAAUUUUUACUUUAGAAAGUUAAUCAAUCUCUAUCUGAUUAGACAAGAAAAUCGGGGGAAUUAAGCUAAAAAAUAGUGAAAGUAAAAACUUUAAAAGUUUGAAGCUAAUGGAUCAUUCAUUGAUGUAGCUCAAAGGCCACAGGCCCACAGCUACUUCGGCCCAAAAAUGAGAAAAAAUCUUUUGGGCUUACGCGGAAGCCAAAUAGCAGGAAAAUGGAUGGGCUUUAACUCAUUGGGUUGUUCGCCUAAAAUAAUUGGGAUUAUUUUCAAAUAUAUACAAUAAAGUAAUUAGUCUACAAUAAAUAUAAUCAUAUUUUAUUUACAUAAAAACAGCCAAAAAUCAUAGUAAAUAUAAACCAACUAUACGAUAUAGUUUGCCAAAUUCAUUGAAAGUAUACAGUGACUAUACGAUAUAGCUUACAUAUACAUUAGCUAUACACUGACUAUAUAUUAUGAUAUACUAAAAAACAUAAUAUAGCUUAACUAUACAUGAAAUAUACACUAACUAUACGUGAAGUAUACAAUGACGAUUCAGAGUAACUCCGUCUCGCUAAUUUUGAUGAUUGAUGAGAAGACAAAGUGAGAAAUACUUACCAUUCAUAGUAACUCCAUCUCGUCAAUUUUGAUGAUUGAUGAAGAAGACAAAGUGAAAUAUACUUACCAUUCAGAGUAACUUUGUCUAGUUAAUUUUGAUGAUUCUAUAUCAUGUUGACUAAACAAUGAUAUUAAUUACCUUAAUGAUUCUUCCACAUACGAUGUCAUUAUUAUUAUUUAAAUGAAAACGAAAAAGUACAUGUUUUUAAAUAAAACAUAACAAAAAUAAAAGGACAUUUCCAUGUGAAUCGAGUACUAGAAAUCAGAUUAAAAUUUAAAUAUAUCUAAUCAAUUUUAGUACCAUACGUACUUGCAUCUUGCAGCAAAUUAGUCAAUCCAUUGUAAGAUGAUCCUCCUUCUUCAAUAGCUUGUUUUGCCAUUUCCUUAUACUCUUUUGCUCUGUUUAUGAAUCCCUCUGCUUCUUCACUCACCAUUACUCUCUUUAUUGCUUUACUUAUUUCUUCCCUUUUCACUCCUUCACUUGCUGCUACCUCCCAUUUCACUGAACCAACCCCAACCCCAAUUCUCAAAACAUCAGUCACCAACUUCUCAUUCAAAAAUUGUUCAGCAAACAGGGGCCAUGUCACCAAUGGCACCCCUGCUGAUAUUCCUUCCAACAUCGAAUUCCAUCCACAAUGAGUCACGAAUGCUCCUACACCUUCGUGAUCAAGAAUCAACACUUGGGGUGCCCAUCCUCUUAUGAUUAAUCCUUUUUCUUUCGUUCUUUCCUCGAAUCCUUCAGGUAGACACGAGUCUUCGUUUUCUUGUUUGAAUUUUCUUUCUCUGAUAACCCAAAUGAAUUCUUGUCCAGAAUCUUCAAUUCCCAUUGCAAGUUCUUGAAUUUGUGAUCCAGUGAAUUUUACUCCGCUUCCAAAACAGAUGUAAACAAUAGAACUUGAUUUCUUCGAAUCAAGCCAUUUCAAGCACUCGUGUUUAUCGAUAGAGGAUUUCUUCCCUCUUUCUGUUUUAUCUUCAAUGUCCCUGUUGCACAGCGAAAGAGGCCCAAUAGCCCAUGAUUUAUUAUCUUGAACUUUGGUAUAAUGUUCAAAAUAAUCUGGUUCAAGUUCGUAGAAACUGUUGAAGAUAACUCCAUAGCUUUUCAAAUCCGCCUCCCUGACUUCAUGAAAUAUCUGGAAUAUAAUUGCCUCUUCCUCUCCUAGAUCAAACGGAGACAACUGCGUUGUGGUCAGCCUGAUUUGAUGAGGCAAAUUCGGUACAACAAAAGUUUCAGAAUCAGAUGACACAUUCUUGAAAGGCUUAUUACGUUUGAUGCUUUCCGCAACACAGAGAGCAAAGAAACCUGUGCCAUGGAAAACAAUUCUUGGAAUGUUGAAUUUGGCAGCAGAAUCAGUACUCCAAGGGAAUAACAUAUCUGAAACAAUACAAUCGGGACGACACUCUUUAACAAGAUUCUCAAAUGGUUCUUGCAUCAUAGCUGUAGCUUUGAAGAAGUUUUUGAACAAUUCAGGGGAAGGAACGAGAUCGAGGCGUUCACAUCCUUCAGGCAAAUCAUUCUCCACUGCUUGAAAUGUUAUCAAACGGAUGUCAAUUUCGAUACCCAAAUGCUUGUUUCUUUGAAUAGAAUCUGAGAAAACCGAUUCAUUGAGAGGGGUAGUGAUUAUAGUUGCCUUAACACCGCGUGAAGCGACGAGCUUAGCCAUGUCAAGUGUAGGAAUCAUGUGACCUUGAGCCAUCAGGGGAAAGAAGAAAAAAUGAAAUCGACUCAUACCUUCAAUUUUCAGUUUCUUUUUGGGAAUGAGCUUAUUCAGUUGUAAUUGAAGGAUUGCAAGAAUUACCAAAUGCAUCAUAUAUUAAUAGACUUUUUUGUUCGAAACAGGGAAACUGUUAAGAAAAAUUAUUGCCUUUGCUAUUACUCCACUUUGUAAUGUUCAUUGAAUUUUUGCCCUACAUGAUUUCAAAUUGUCGGCCACUCUUGAGCUACAUUGUUCAUCGACUCCUAUUCCCAUAUUUCUCAUUAAAAAAUUGCGCUGAGCCAAGUUACUGUUUCAAAUCCAGCAGUUUGCUGAUCAAGAAUCCUGACGACUUGGGAUUAGUGCUGUGAUGAUUGACAGAAGAACCAGGUCUUUAUCAGGUCUCAAUAAUGAGCUGGCAGUGUUUAUGAUUGACAAACAACUAUAGAAGAACAAGUUCCUUUGCAUGUCUAUUCCGAGGAACAAGUUUUAUGCACAUAGUGAAAGAUUCAAGUUCUUACUUAAAAUACGAUCGGAGACGACUGUUGAUCAAAUGCGACAAAGUAGAAAAUAUUGUCAUGAAGAACACACACAUCGAUCCAACUCUCUUGUUAGUUUUCUGGAUCUAAGUAUCCAAAAAUGACCAUUCUGGCUACUGUAUGCUUUCUACUUUAUGGCGGCGUAAAUAAAUCUCUAAGGGUCAUUUGGUAUGAGAGAUAAUAUUCCGGAAUAAAAUAUAGAAUUAUUUUAUGAUGCAUUUGGUUAGGAGUAUUAGUUAGUUCCAGAAUUAUCCAUCCCACCCAUUUAUACUAUAAUGAUGGUAUAAGCUAUAACUUUUUUCUGUCUCCCAUACCAGACAACCCCUAAGUUUUUCUUAUUUCAAUACUAUACAAACCAUAUAGUUAGUUACAAAUGUGUGAAUAGUCCUUUGAAAUUUAUAUUACGUGUAAUACUUGGUAAAAGAAAAAAAAAAGAUUACGUAACAAAAGAUCACACUUGUAGAGGGAAUAUGGUCAAACAAGAAUGACAGAAAAUGGUAGACCCAGAAAACUAUAGUCUAAACAUUGUCGGGCGACUAAUUAAAACUUAAAUGAAGGAUCCAACUAAACUUGAGAUCUGGCGUCUCAUAAUUUUGCAGCAUUCACAGAAGUCUUUGGCCUUAUGGAAGUAUUCAACAAUUGCGGAGAGACAUAUUCAAUAAAUCAAUUAGUAGUGAUUAUUCCAUUUUAAUUCUAUGUAUUAUUCACAUGUCCAAAUUUCACGACUUUGGAGCAAUUAGUCAAGAAGAGUUGUAGUUUGUUUUACUACCAUAGUACAUACGUCAUCUUCGUGUUUGUGAAUAAUAUGACGUGUGACGAAAGUUUUAUGUUGAUAAUCGAGGUAUCUGAUACGUUGAUUUCGAGAUGACUGAUCUUGGGUUGAAAUAUUCUUUUUGAAGUCAUUAAUUAUUAGAAGUGGUGACAAAAGGUAAUGAUCAAAUCAGCAAAACAGAAAACGUACACACGCAUAAUAUAGAAACAUACAUGUUUUUUUUUAAUCACUACUUAAUGACCUGUGGAAGUAUAUGAAGUUAUAUCUUGUAGCAAAGUAGCCCAUCCAUUGUAAGAUGAUCCUCCUUCUUCAAUAGCUUCUCUUGCCAUUUCCUUAUACUCUUUUGCUCUGCUUCUGAAUCCCUCUGCUUCUUCACUCGCCAUUACUCUCUUUAUCGCCUUUGCUAUUGCUUCCCUUUUCACUCCUUCACUAGCUGUUCUCUUCCAUUGCAUCGAACCAACGCCAGCUCCAGUUCUCAUUACCUCAGUCACCAACUUCUCAUUGCAAAAUUGCUCCGCAAAUACUGGCCAUGUCACCAUUGGUACCCCUGCUGAUAUUCCUUCCAGUGUCGAAUUCCAUCCACAAUGAGUAACGAAAGCUCCAAUAGCUUCGUGAUCAAGAAUCAGCACUUGGGGUGCCCAUCCUCUUAUGAUUAAACCGUUUUCUUUUGUUCUUUCUUCAAAUCCUUCAGGCAGCCAAUCUUCAUUGCCUGUUCUAAUAACCCAAAUGAAAUCUUGUCCAGAAGCUUCUAGUCCCAUAGCAAGUUCUUGCAUCUGUGCUGUAGUGAAAUCUGCUGUACUUCCAAAACAAACGUAAACAAUGGAACUUGAUUUCUUCGAAUCAAGCCAUUUCAAGCACUCGUGUUCAUCGAUAGAUGAUUUCCUCCCUCUUUCAGCUUUAUCUUCAAUGUCCCUGUUACACAACGAAAGCGGGCCAAUAGCCCAGUUUUUUCUACCCACAACCUUAGUGUAAUGUUCAACAUAAUCUGAUUCAAGCUCAUAAAAGCUAUUGAAGAUAACUCCAUAACUCUUUGCAUCCGAUUCCCUGACAGCUUUAAUCAUGGGAGUCAUACCCGUCUCUUCAUCCGAUUGCUCAAACGGAGACAAUUGUGUUCUAGUGAGCUUAAUUUCAUGAGGCAAAUCCGGUACAACAAAAGUUUCAGUAUCAGAUGUCACAUUCUUGAAAGGCUUAUUACGCCUGAUGCUAUCAACAACACAAAGGGCAAAGUAACUAGUGCCAUGGAAAACAAUUCUCGGAAUGUCAAAUUUGGCUGCACUAUCAGUUGUCCAAGGAAGGAACAUAUCAGAAACAAGACAAUUUGGGCGACAUUCUUCAAUAAGCUGCUCAAAUUCAUCUUUCAUCAUAGCUGCAGCUUUUAAGAAGUUUGGGAGUUUGUCAUCAGAAGGUAUAAGAUCAAGACGCUCACAAUCUUCAGGCAAAUCAUUCUCCUUAGCUGGGAAUUUUAGCAAGCGGAUAUCGAUUUCGAUACCCAAAUGCUUGUUUCUCUCAAUAGCUUUAGAGAAAACAGAUUCAUUGAGAGGUGUUGUGAUUAUAGUAGCCUUAACACCACGAGAAGCAACAAGCUUGGCCAUGUCAAGUGUAGGAAUCAUGUGGCCUUGAGCCAUCAUGGGAAAGAAGAAAAAAUGUAGCUGACCCAUUUGUGAAAAUGCUUGAAGGAAACAAAGAAAUGGAAAGUAUGGUUGUUUUAAGUUCUAAUUGCAUGAGUGUCACUUUAUAUAUACGUGGAAUUAUUAGUGACUUUCGUUGAAGUUGCAUAUAAGACUAACUUGUUAUUCAAGUUGGAAGUAGAGACGUAACGUAAGCACUCACGUGGUUGAUUUAACAGGCAAAACCAAACUACUCUUACCGGUUUGAUUGGUUUAAGAUCGGGAUAUUUAAUUUCAUGAUUAUAAUUUUUUUAAUUAAAAUCAUGGCUAUAACAUAUAUCAAUUUUUACAAAUACCUAUAAUCAAACAUGAGAUAUAUUUAAUUUCAAAAUUUAAAUCGGAAUUAACUUGCCUUAUCAAUGAAUGAAACGGCAGUAGUGGGGUCCAGGGUGUGGAGAUACCCAAUUUCUUGAGAUGCAAACUUACAGAAGAGAACAUUGUAGUAAGACCAAGUGCAGAUACAGGUGACAUAUGCCCUUCCGUCACAAGUCAAGUGAAACACAAUUUUUCCUUUUAUUAACCUUAAUUUAAGAAGGGGUGUAUUGUUCAAAGACGAAAACAUUGUUUAAAAGUAUGAGUGAGUCAGUUCGAUUGAGACAUUGGAUACUACUCCACCGUCCAUCUUUACUUGUCUACUAUACUAAUGUCUAAUAAUAUUAGUUUAUGAAAUUAAUGAAUAAUUUAAUAUGUUAUAUAUAUUUUACCCUUGCUAUAAAGACUAUUUAAUAAGGGUGAUUUGGUAAAAUGACUCUUAUCAUUUACUGCUUCUUAAUCAUUGAUCCAACUCAACUGUGAACGGUUAUUAAUGGUAAUCUUCAUUUCAAGUUAAUAGUGAACAAAUAUUAUUCGGUUAUGUAUCGUUUCAUAAAUCAUCUAGAAGAUGGCAAGAUGCAUUUUGUUCAUUACCAUUUGAUUUUGGCGGAAUACUUGAGAAGGUGGUGGUGACCACAUAGGUGUAGCUAGGUGGGGUUCGUCCGUUCGAACGAAUUCAAUAAUUUUUUCGUAGAUUUUAUAUUUGUACUAGAAAAUUAAUUAAAUAUAUAUGUAUAUUAACUUGUGAACCCCAACAAAAUUAAUUGACGACUCAAUGGUAAGGAAGGGACAAUACAAAUGCUCCUAAUCCCGACUCCACCUUUGAGUGACCACUUCAUAAAAAAUAAAAUAGAAUUUGAUUUAUUGACCUAGACUUUGGAGUUAAUAACUCUUUUUUCCAUGCGUUUACGACUCCUUUAUCUUUUUAUAUUGUUUAACUUGUAUUGAUUUGAUAUAUUCUUAAAAAGUUUUAAUUAGAGAUAUAUAAUAGUAAGCUAACAUUAUUACUGAAUUUUUGAACUCUAAAUUUAACUAUCACUAUUUUAAUGUAAUUAUUUAAUAUGAAAAAAAACAUACUCUUACUAUUUACUUUUACUUGUCAUAUUUCGCUUCACAAUAAUCAAUUUCAUGAACUCUUAAUUUGUAAAAAUAAAAUGGAGGGGGCAAGAUAUUAAGACACCUUGGAGUUGAGAAGUACUCUAUUAUUGAGCUAGCAUUGGAGUAUGGUCUAUAGACUUUUAACGUUGAAAAUAGGAGUAAUAAUAUAUUUAUAUUUUAAAAAAAAAUUAAAAAAAUGCAAAGUUCAAAAUGAACCACGAAAGGAGUAUUAAUUAAGAUACCUUAGGUGGGAUGACCAGAUUGGAGUGAUGAGUGGAUGACAAAAAAUGGAAAUUAAAUACUGUUAAAUCUUCAUUGAAGAGUUUGGCAACAAAUUAAUAGAAUGAGUUAUUGAAGCAAUACGUAGAAGAAAGGUAAUCAACCAAACAUAAACGUGCCUCCAAUAAAUGUCAUGCGAUGACUAAAAUUUAUCUUACUAAAGUAGGGUUAAUGACAAAAAUUAUUUCUCCUGAUCUAUAACUCGAAUUUAAAAUGUUUUUUUGAUCGAUUUUGAAACUUUAAAUUUUUUUAAAAAGUUAAGCAAAAACAAAAGAAAAUUCUAAAUCAAAUUCCAAAAGUCACACCACUAAAAAUUGCACUAACCUCAAAAAUAGACAAAAACUUAGCAAAAUGCCAAAAUUCAUUCGAUAAAUACUUCGGAUGAAAUGACAAUACUAACCAGGGCGGAGCUAUACUAAGCUAUGUUUAAGCGGAUAUCUUUCGUCAAAAAAUUACAUCGUAUAUAUAUAAGUAAAAUGAUAUUUUUAAAUGGUUAAAUAAGAUAUUUUAGACACCGUUAAAACAACAAAAUUUCUUAGCCCAUUGAUUUCAGAGACUCAACUAAAGAAAACGUAAAUAGAACGUUAGCAAUUUUUGUAUGGUCAUUUUAGAAAUAAUAAUUGUACUAUUUAGUGAAGAUCAUUUUCUUAUAAAAUAAGAAAUUAAUUAUAUAAAAAUAUAGAAACAUAAAAAAUAUAAAAAAGCGGUAUAACGGACGUGUGGUUCAAAGUUAGUUCGCUCAAUUGACCUCGCACCACAUAUAACAAAUUUUCGGUAUUACAUGGUUUUGAUACCAAAAGCUCAUUCGAUAUCUUCGAACACAAACCAAAUAUGCAAAUUAAACCAUUCAUAAAACCAUUUUACAUGUGCAAAUUAAUGGUUCUUAGUUCUUGAAACAGUGCAUUCAAAUCACUGUAAGAUGAUCCACCUUCUUCAACAGCCUUGUUCGCCAUUUUCUUGACUUCUUUUGCUCUCCUCCUCAUUUCCUUUGAUUCUUCCCCAACCAUUACACGCUUCACUGCCUUUGUAAUUGCUUCACUUUUCACAUUAUCCACCACUAUGCUCCAUUCCUCUGCCCCAACUGCUACUCCAAUUUUUAGUACUUUAGUUAUCAAUUGCUCAUUGAAGAAUUGCUCUGCAAACAUAGGCCAAGUCACCAAUGGAACCCCUGCUGAUACGCUUUCAAGCGUUGAAUUCCAUCCACAGUGAGUCACAAAAGCUCCUAUAGCCUUGUGAUCAAGAAUCAGCACUUGGGGUGCCCACCCUCUUAUGAUUAAUCCUUUUUCUUUUGUUCGUUCUUCGAAUCCUUCUGGAAUCUUGCCUUUCCUAACUACCCAUAUGAAUUCUUGCUCUGAAGCUUCAAGGCCUAAUGCAAUUUCUUCAAUUUGGGAAUCAGUAAAGUUAGACAUGCUCCCGAAACAAACAUAGAUUACUGAAUUUUGUUUCUUCGUGUCCAGCCAUUGCAAGCACUCAUGUUGUUUGUGGUCGACGCUUUUAUGGAAUUUUUCUUCGUUUUUUCUGUUGCAGAGCAAAAUGGGUCCAAUGUGCCAUGCUCUUUUACCCAAAACCUUUCUGUAAUAAUCAGCAUAAUCUGGUUCAAGCUCAUAGAAGCUAUUAACAAUGACCCCAAAACUUGUUGACUCGGAUUCCUUCACUUGUUCAAUAAACUUAGUCAUUUCUGUUUCUUCUCGAUCAUACGGAGCUAAUUUCAUCCUUGUGAGCUUUACCUUGUGAGGAAGAUUCGGGAGAACGAAAGGUUCAGUAUCUGAACACACAUUCUUCUGAGGCUUGUAGUGCCUAAGGUUCUCCGAAGCACAAAGCGCAAAGAAGCCCAUCCCAUGAAAUACCUGUAAAAUUAAACUUAACCUUUAAGUAUAAAUGACAACAGGGCGGGGAGCGUUAUGAUAAAUCAUGAAAUGUAGUAAUACCAAUCUUGGGAUAUGAAAUUUGGCAGCAGAUUCUGUAGCCCAGGGGAAGAACAUGUCAGCAACGAGAGCGUUGGGUUGACAUUCAUGGAGUAGUAGCUCUAGUUGUUCUUGAAGCAUGGUGGUGGCCUUGAAGAAUUUGGGGACCAAAUCAUAAGAAUUCAAUUGAUCCAUUCUUUCACAUCCUUCAGGCAAACCAGCUUCCACUGCUGGGAAUCUGAUGGCUUUGACAUAAAUUUCUAGCCCCAAAUGUUUGAUUUUUUCAAUCGACUGGAUGAAGAUGGGUAAGUUCAGAGGAGUGGUGAUAAUAGUUGCCUUUGCACCACGCGAAACGAACAGCUUAGCCAUGUCCAAAGUAGGAAUUAUGUGGCCGUGCGCCAUCAUUGGAAAGAAAAAUAUAUGGAGCUGGUCAUCAGCCAUUACAACUAUUUUCACAAACACUUGGUGUGCGCGGUGUUUUAAUACAUUGUUUAAAGGUUCUCUACAACAUGAAAGAACUCUCUUGAAUGAAAGAAGCUUAGCUAGAACACGGAAGAAACUGCGUACGUUGGCGUUAUCCAUUAUUUAGCAUUGAUUCAUUUUAAUGACACUUUCUUAAAUUAUGUGUAAACGCAAAAUAAGACUGACGUGCCGUUAAGAAUGACUCCCCAAUUAUCUUGUUAGAAAUUGAAAUUUUAUUCGACUCUACAAACAUGUUCAAUUCUAGUUGAGAUUCUACAAUAUUUGUUCGAUUCCAAUUAAGAUUCCUGAAUGCUAAACCAUAAAUCUUAGUUCAUGCCUAUAUAAAGGGUAUUUCAAGCCGUUUCAUCAAGUCUGCCCUCCGACAAGCCUUGAAGCAGGGCAUUUGUAGAAAUUGAAAAUUUUGUUGGACUCUACUUCAAUUCCUGUUGGAACUCUACAAUAUGUGUUCAAUUUCAAUUAGGAUUCUUGGAUGCCGAACCCUAAAUCCUAGUUCUUGCCUAUAUAAAGGUACUAUAUUCCCUUGAAAAGACAUCUCGAAUAUUCCAUAAAAGUAAUGAAAUAUUCAUGUAGAGGUCAAAUCUAAAUCAUUCUAGUUCGAGAAAUACGCCACUAACAGAAAUCUUAGGAGAGUAUAAUAAAGGGAGCAACAUAAUUGUACCCUUGGACAAUUGACACUGUAGCUAAAUUUAACAUUCUACGAAUGGCUAUUCAUGGCACGAGCUUCUUUGAUCGAAUUGAGGAAGAGAAAAAUAUGCCCCGGGAUUGAAUGGAUGGAAUUCGACACUAGAAAGAAUAUCAACAAGGGUGUCAAGAUGUGGUUUUGAACUUCACUUUGCAUCAUGGGGUUGCAAGUUUGAAACUAGUUAUUACCUUAAUAGGAUUCAAACCCCAUGCCCCCACCUUAGAGGUGUUCAACGCUUAAACCAACCCACCCAAACAAUUUUAGUGUAAUUGAUCGCGUAAUAAAAUAUAUGUACAUAGUUCGUCAAGUGAUUAACAAUUUAUCCCUACUAGAAUGAUGAUAUUAAUGGUUGCUUAUUUUACUUUAUUGAAAGAUCAAAUCUCUUUUCUACUGUAGAGAUUAUUUCGUCUUAAUGGACUAUCUUGCAUGAUUCUUAAAUCUUGGUCCUUCACUUAAUAAGGCAAUUAGCACCUUUAGCAUGACUUUGUGUGUCUUCACCCGAAUUAGAAUUUUCACACUGAGGUUUAAAAUAUUAAAAAAAUUUAAAACAUAAAAAACUAAGGAGAUUCAACAUCUAAUUUGGAGGAGUAAAAAGCAACUUUCGAUUCAAAUUAGAGAAAUAUUGAACUUUAUCUGCAUUACUGGUCGAUGAUCUGAUUUUGAAAGAAGUCGUUAUCCUUCCACCCACUUGGUUAGGCCCCUAAGUCCAUAGCCCAAGGGAGGCUCUACAGCUUUGAAAAAAAAGAAAUUGUCUUGGGCCCCAAAAUUUGAGCGGCCUCAUUUUCUUUUUUUAAAAAAAACAUGUUAUAAGUACUUUCUUUAAAAAAUAUCGAGUAUUACUUGUAGAAAAUAAAAACUUUUCAUAAAAGAGCAAAGAAGUAAUAGAAGUUCAACAAAUUAUGAAUACUAUGUCUUGAGAAAAAUUAAAUAAUUGGCUAUAAUAAACUUCAUAAAAAAUAUAUGUUCGAAUUUAAGGCCUCCAUUGAGAUUUGGCUUUAGGCCACCGAUUUAUUAGAGCCGCCGGGCAUAGCCCCAUUUUGGUUGAUUGCAUAUGACUAUUCAAUGUACUAUUUUCCCCAAGAAAUGUGCGUCUCAUAUUUUGCUUUGAAAAUGGUAAGUCAAAAACUAGUUUCCAAUCGCCUAAGACAAGACUUGAAAGCUACUAACGAGCUUUACUUUGCUAUCUAGUUUCUUAUGCAACAGCUUUGUUUCUUCCAAGUUUUAGCAUAUGGAUCAGCUCCAUUUUUUCUUCUUUCCCCUGAUGGCUCAUGGCCACAUGAUUCCAACACUUGACAUGGCAAAGCUCGUGGUUUCUCGUGGUGUUAAGGCCACCAUAAUCACCACUCCUCUCAAUCAAUCUGUUUUCUCUAAAGCUAUUCAAAGAAACAAGCAAGAAGGAAAUGAAAUAGACAUCCGUUUGAUCAAAUUCCAAGCUGUUGAAAAUGGCUUGCCUGAAGGAUGUGAGCGUCUUGAUCUCGUCCCUACUGAUGAAUUGUUAAACAACUUCACCAUGGCUACAAUUAUGAUGAAAGAACCAUUCGAGCAGCUUCUUCAAGAAUGCCGCCCCAGCUGUCUUGUUUCUGAUAUGUUCCUUCCUUGGACAUAUGAUAGUGCAGCAAAAUUUAACAUUCCAAGAUUGGUUUUUCAUGGGACAAGCUACUUUGCACUUUGUGUCACUGAUAGUGUCACGCGUUAUAAGCCUUUCAUGAAUGUAUCCUCUGAUUCUGAUGCUUUUGUUAUACCGAAUUUGCCUCACCAAAUCAAGCUGACCAGAACACAACUGACCCCAUUCGAUCGAAUUGAGGAAGAGAAAGAUAUGUCCCCGAUGAUAAAAGAACUCAGGGAGUCCGGUUUAAAGGGCUACGGAGUUGUCUUCAAUAGCUUCUAUGAGCUCGAACCAGAUUAUGUUGAAUAUUACGCCAAUGUUCUGAGUAGAAAAACCUGGGCUAUUGGCCCACUCUCGUUGUGUAACAGGGACAUUGAAGAUAAAGCUGAAAGAGGGAAGAACUCCUCUAUCGAUAAGCAUGAGUGCAUGAAAUGGCUUGAUUCAAAGAAAUCCAGUUCCAUCGUUUACGUAUGUUUUGGGAGUGUUGCCAUUUUCACUGCUUCACAAAUGGAAGAGCUUGCUAUGGGAAUUGAAGCUUCUGGACAAGAAUUCAUUUGGGUUGUAAGACCAGAUAACGAAGAGUGUCUGCCUGAAGGAUUCGAGGAAAGAACAAAAGAAAAAGGCCUAAUAAUAAGAGGAUGGGCACCCCAACUGCUAAUUCUUGAUCACGAAGCUGUGGGAGCUUUUGUCACUCAUUGUGGUUGGAAUUCGACCCUUGAAGGAAUAUCAGCUGGGUUGCCAAUGGUCACAUGGCCCGUGUUUGGAGAGCAAUUCUACAACGAAAAGUUGGUGAUUGAGGUUUUGAGAACUGGGGUUGGCGUUGGUUCAGUACAAUGGAAGAGAAUAGAUAGCGAGGGAGUGAAAAGAGAAGCAAUAACCGAGGCAAUAAAGAAAGUCAUUGUGGGUGAAGAAGCAGAGCUAAAGCGUACACGAAAAUGGCAAGGCAGGCAGUUGAAGCAGGAGGCUCAUCUUACACUGGUUUGACUGAUUUACUGCAAGAUAUAAGUGCAUUUAGUUCCACAAGUAACUAAGUAAACCAUUUAUUCCUAUAACUCCACUACUAUAUGUCUAAAAAAAGAUGAGAGCAAAUAAAGAUAACAUGUGAGAAGUCUUACGUGUUACAUAUAUUUAUAUUAAGUGUAAAACAAGUAGAAAUAUCUUCACACCAUAAAAUCUAAUUUUGCCAUUGCACAAUAAACUCAGCAAUGGAGUCUCGAGUGGUCAAACUCUUGAGUUUCCUUACAAAUUGUAUUGCAUUACGUAGAAUAUCGUUUAGGUUCUCAUACUACGACAAGUUUGAGAACUAACCAAUGGUAGUGUCGGGCACCUGGGUACUAUCCAUAUGGGGGACCCGCCUUUUAUCAAAUGUUUGCUACACAGAGAGUUUAGACUCUGUACCACCUUUCUUGGAUUUCGAGCUCACAAGCAUCACGUUUAUACUUACCAGCAGGUACUUGGGCAAUAUAAUCCCUUGCUUCCCCUUCUCCCAAUGAUGCCACACUUGGUACAGUAGGAAGCCAAGGACAAAAGAAUGGAGGAGUACAUAUAUAUUAUAAUACAGCAGCAUCAUGGCUUGACAUGAACAGACAAUUUUCGCACUGGAACCCACGUGUCAGUGGGUAUUGUCAGUAGUGCGUUUUAUUUGCAGAGCAGCUCUAACAACAUUGCCCCUUGUGAUAAUCCCAACCUUCAC